rnacentral:lncRNA from 1 species
UUUUUUUUUUUUUUUUUUUUGAGGAAGAAGAAGAGGAAGGAGGAAGAAAGGGAAGGAAGAAGGAUUUGAGGAAGAAGAAUAGGAAGGAAGGAGGAAGGAAGGAGGAAGAAGGAGAAGAAUGAGGAAGAAAAAAAAAAUGUUGCAGUCGGAGGAAGAAGAAGAAGGAAGAAGGAGGAAGAAGAAGAAAGGAAAAAAAAAAAAAACUUCCCCAGAUUUCGGAAGAAGAAGAAGAAGAAGAAGGAGAAGGAAGAAGGGGAAGGAAGAAGGAGAAAAAAAAAAGAAAAAAAAGAAAGUUACAGUCAGAGGAGGAAGAAGAAGAAGGAAGAAGAAAAGAAAAAAAAAAAAAAACGUGGAUGACACAUGGCGCCCAAUCAGUGCGCUACGUCACAGUUAACAGAAAACUUAACAGUUUGACUAACAGAUGUAUGAGACUGUCCCAAAAUUUCCACUUUAAGUAUGAAUCUGAGACGAAAAAAACUUGAUACACUAAAUGUUGAAAAACACGAAAUAUGAGGGUAGUAAACAGUUUUUUACCCAAAAAUAAAUAAUGAACAAUAAACAAUUUUUGCUAAAACCUGCAUUCGUCAAGCGUUGGAUAAAUCUCCAAAAUUAAAAUGACGAUGAUACAAUUCCAGUACGUAACCCUCUUUUCAUCUUAAUCUUAAGGCUUUUGAAAGCAAUUUUACGGUUUAUUGAGCAAUAAAUAUAUAUUUAGUAAAACUUUCAAAACGGUUUAAAUACGAAUUUGUAAAACCGACUAAAAACCAUGAGUAAUCAAACACUUCCACUGUUCAAGCAAUAUUCUAAUCUAAUAUAAAUUACGGAGAGCGGGACUCUUAACUUGGCUACAACAAUCAAGUGAAGAAUGAUAUUGUAAAUGUUGCAAAAAAGGAAGUAAAAAUUAACACGAAAGAAAGGUUGUGAAAGCAGAGAUAUACAGCUGCCUACCAUUCCUGACACUAUCACCACCACAGAUCUUAAUUUGGUUUUAUCUAAUCCGGUUCUUACCCAUUAUUCUUCAGGGAAAAAAAAAGUGUAAGUUCUAAUAUCGAAAUAUCAUAAAAAUCUCGGAACAAUUUUCACUUCCACAAGUUUCAUGAGUCCGCUGAAACCCUUCAUGCUCUUUUGUUGGUUACAAAACAGCUUCUUCUGUUGUUUCUGCAUCACGAGAAACCUUGAAAAAAUCAACCAUCAUUCAGUUUGAAAGGUAUUACAAACUCGAACGGUAACAUCACUCAAGUCUAUAUAAAAUUGUUAUGCAGGAAGGCGAUGCAUAUAUCUCAAUGCUGGCAUAGAGUUGAGCAAUAAUAUAAAGCUUAGCACCGUUCUCAGACUACGAGAAAAUUUAAGCAGGUUCAGAUCAAAUCAGAAAAUACCUAACACUUGAAAAAGAUCACAUUCAGAUAGCACGCUUAAUAGACGAGCUGAAACAGAAAUGCCUAAUGGAUUCUCCUUUAGGUGGUUGAGCUAGCAGCUAGCUAAACGAACAAAAUAUGAGACCCUGUUCUUUUAAUCUCUAGCACAAUCUCUAUCUACCUUUACAAUCGAUGUACACUUGCAAUUCAGGGGAGAUCAACUAAAAAAACUUCCGCAGAACCUUAGCACAAAAGAGGUCUUCUAACUCUAGCAUAAGGGACUGUCGACAUCAAGAUAUGAGUCCUUGAAAAUUUGUAAUUCCUGCUUUUAUCUAAUUUCUUCUCCGUGAGGACAGCUUAAAGUCCCUCUUGGGAAGAAGCCUCAACAAUUUCUUCUCUCUUCUUAUCUUUUAAACAAUGGAUUGUUACUCGCUGCUUUACUACUCACACUUGUAUAGUGAGACAAUCCUACUCGAUUUGUAACUAAAUUUCCUACUAAAAUCCGUAAGAUAACACAUUUAAACAUAAUUUUCCAUCCACUAUUUACAUUCCAUUGGCAACAUGAUAAACAUUAAACCCUUCAUGUGAGAAAAUCGUAAACGAGGCCUUUCAUGACAAACCAAUCUUGACAAUUCCAGUCCUUGGCUACCAUUUUUCACUAGCAGUGCAAUCCACAUUCUAUAAAAGCAUAAAUCAGACACCUAGAGACCACGGUCAAUGAAGAUCCACACUUUAAUUUUCUGAAACAUAAUAAAUAAUGACCACUUAAACAAUUAUGGCAUCCCUGUUACAUCCUAAACACAUCUCAAUGCCCCACUGACCCAGUCUGCUCUAUAGCAUUGACAAAAACUAUAUAUAGAGAGAAAAGGCAAGACAUGUUAUUUGAACUUGAUAGAAAAAUCCCAACCUGAACUUAUCUAUUGGAGCCUGUUAUAGCAUCCAGAAUUCCACAGCAGCUAAGCCAACAUGUUUUUUGCGCCACGGGUGGAGCCGGAGCUAACAGAGGCUGCAUAAAUUCCAGCAAAGAAAUUGAAUUUGAUUAUCAAAACAUAAAAAGAUCUAACAUCAAACUUUCAAUGAAGAAAAAAAUGCGGCGCAAUACCUGCUUUUCAGAAUAUUCUGGAACAUCAGCAUCUUUGAUGGGUUCAGCAUCAUUACUAACUUGGGCCAGAGAAGUACCUAAUGAUGGCAAUACUUUGCUCUCAUUUUCUUUAGACGCAGAUUCCACCACACUUGAAGAUGCCUUGGCAGUAUCGUCCAGAAAUGGCGAUGCUUUAUCCUCAAUUUUCUUUGAUACAGGAUCCCCAGUAGGCAACGUUUUCUCUGCACCAUUAUCCAACCCUGCUUUUACUACAUCAUUGGAGAUCGGUGCAAUUUCAACUGGCGUCCUUUUUGAGAGGUGCACAGAAACCUCAUGCGUAACAGAAUCAAAAGAAGGGGCAAUCUCUGUAGUAGCUGAACUUGUAGUCUUCCCAGCUGGUGCAUCUUCAGUAGUCUUCCCAGCUGAUGUAGAAUCGACUGACUUAACCAAAUCAUUAUGAGGUUUUUCCUCCGAAACUGAAGUAUGGAUAUCCUCCUUUCGCCUUCUAUCAACAGCUCGAGAUUCUUCAUCUGAACUACUACUGCUAGAGCUUCUAUCGUCCCCGUUAGAUGAUCCCUUUGCAGACUUAGCAUCCUCAAUAAUCACAUUUUUGCCUGUUGAAUUGUCUCUCAAUUCCCUCUCAAUUUCAACUCUCUGAACUGCCUCGGCAUCCCCAGGCACUCCCUUAUCUUGGGAGUUCACAUCAUUAUUUCCUAUCAUAGUUCAAUUCAAUCACAAGAGUUUCAGUCAAAAUCAUGCAAAGCUAAGACCUCAAUAAACACCCAUUAAGCCAAUUCGAAGCCAAAAAGUGUCAAACAUUCAAAUUUCAAAACUGUCAUUCGAGAGGGGGAUAAAGUACGAACUCAGAGACUCACUAACUAACAUGCAACCACAAUUUGUUCACCAGAAUUAAGCUAAACUCAACACAUCUGCAAAUACCCACCAACCCAAAUGGGGGAAAUGAAACAAAAUCAAAACUUCAAAAUUGGGUAACUUGAUUCAUAUUACAAAAAUCCCAACCAACACAAAGCAAAAAAGGGAAACUGGUAAAUACCCAAUUACCCAAAUCGAUAAAAUAACAAGAAAAAUUAAUGAAAAGGGUUCGAAAACGAUCGAGUGAGAGAUGGGUAAGUGAGGGAUUGAUGAAUUAAAUAAUCAAAUAAACAAAGAAAGCACCUUGAGAAGGAGGAGGAGGAUUGGAUGUGCCGUUGUGGGUUUGCCGCUCCUUCUUUUUCUUGGCAGCUUUUCGCUUCUUGGCACCUGAUGGCAUGAUUGCACACUCUCUCUCUGUCUCCUUUUGGGGAUUGUACAGCAGCAAUGGGGUCUCUCUAUCUCUCUCUCUCUCCUCUCGCUCGGAGAGACAGAUCUUCGUAUUAUUCGAUCGAAAUCAAAAACCCCGACACUCUUCUCCUUCUCUCUCGCUCUCUCUCUCUCUAUGUCUCCCUCUUAAGGGUGAUUAUGUGGGACUCUCGGGGACUCUGUUUUGUGGAGAAUAACUGCGCGUGUUUCAAAAAUACAGUAAAAUUUAAAACUUGAAAUGGUAAGAUCUAAAAAAAAAUUAAUGAAAAAAAUUUGAAAAUUUUGAGUUUUAAUAAUGAAGAUAAAAUAAAAGGUAAAAUAAAUAGUAUCAGAAUUAACUUUUUAAUGUAAAAAUAUGAUUUUUCGUUAAAAUAAACAGUACUAUAAGUUUUUCGUUAAAAUUUCUUAAGAAAUAAGGACUGGUAAUGGUGAGAGAGAUAUGAGGAUGCUUUUGGAAUUUCACUCUCUGGUUGUGGUGAAGAUUCCAUGUGGUCUGGUUGGGCUAAUUUAUUUAUUUGGGUACAAAAAAUUGCAGAUUUAUAUCCGAGUCAGUUGAGAAAAACUUACUUACAAUCCGAAUGUCAUUAUGCCAGUAUUUUUGAACGAAUAACGUGCUGUUAUAAACAAAAAUUAAAACCUAUAGCGAAACAGAAUUGAUUUGAGACGCGGUCACAGUUAGGUUUCGGGUGUAAAUAAGUUCCUAUAGAUUCUAGAGCGUAAGGGGCUAAUUUUAGUGCUAAGUGUCAUUUUGUGAAUGGUGGGAUCUCUUGAUGUGGAUUUGUGAAUGUUUGAAUUUUGGAACGUUUAUGAGGAGUGGGAAUAAAUACAAGGGUUGGGGCCCUAGGGAUUAAGAGAGUGGGUCAAUUUUUUGGGGAUGUGGCUUAAAAUAAUGGGAUGCAUGUCUGUGGUAGGCAAUUCCUGUAUGUUUUUUUUUUGGAUCCAAGUGCCAGCAUGGUUCAGUUUUUGCAGAGUAUAUCUGCUCGCCACCUUUAAUUGAUGAUGAUUUAAAGUGUGGUUAGUCAAAAUACAUCAUUUAUAAGAUGAUAAAUAUUAUCAUCGCAUGAGGAGGUAAAUAAAAACGAUGUAUUAUGGGACUACGAUUUAUUUUUCAUGGGUUUUGGAUUAUUUUUUGUGGACAUAAUAAUAUGAAUCCGGGGUGCAUGUGAUUCCCUGUGAAUCUGUGACUGCAAUAAUUAUUUAAUGGUUGGAGGAAAAGUUGGGCUUCAAUAUGAUGUGAUUUGGGAAAUUUCGAUAUUGUGCACAGAAUUGAAGAGCUACUUGAAUCUGUACAAAUUAUGAAAUAAAUCAAUUUGUCAAGUUGGAUUAGAGGAAUAAAUUUGAAUUUUUUUUGAAGGAAAUUUGAAAAUUAUUUAAUACUAAACAAUUAGGCUUCACUGACACACCUCGAUCCUAAAAUCAAGGCGUACCAUGAGGACGUGAUCAGGGCUCAAAACGGAUAAUAUCGUGCUACGGUGGUGGAACGGGCUCAGGAAGUGAUCCGCCCCGGGCCGGGAUGUGACAACACAAUUUGAAUUGGUAGUUGCUAGUGUUUGAGAACAAUAAAAUAAAAAAUUCUAGAUUCUACCAUCGCAUAUUAUAUUGUGACAAAUAGUAAGCAAUUAAAAAGCACCAUAUUUUUUGGAAAAUGGUACAUACGAUCUUUUAUUUUUAUUUUUAUGAAAUAAAAAUUGUGAUAUUCUUUAAAAGUAUUAUAUUUACAAAAUUCACAAAAUGAAACAAAAAGUGAAUAAAUAGACAUUUUUUUUAAAUUCGAGAGGGAGUUUACACUCAAUUCGAAUUUGAAAAAGUGGAGAUUAGAAUAUUUUGCUCUUUUUUAUUAAACAAUAGGUUGUGAAGUUUCAGAUUAUAAGUUCGUUGAACAUAUACAAGAAAUUAUUAGUGUAAGUAUCAUAUCAUCAUAUAAAGUGAUUAACUAGAUAUGAACGAAAUAACUAGAUAUUAUUGCAACAUAUUUUAUAUCAAUUUGUUAAGAAAUGUUGCAAACUCCAAUCCCCCACUGACAAAUAAAGGAGAUAGAAGCAAAUGAUUGAUGCUAGAGAGACCAUUUACUUAAAUCGUAUUUUGUAAACCGCAUAUGAUGUGGAGGUCGAGGGUUGGAUUUCCUCUUUAAAUCACUAAAAUAAUAAAUCAAUCAUCAAUCGUCAUAUCACGUGGUCUAUAAAAUAUGGUAUAACAAGAUAAUCUUCCUAAUAUUUUCCAAAUAAACCAUCCUCGCAAAUCAUUGAGUUGUUUGAUACUGUGAGAAUAUCAAAGUAAAAAAAUCUCAUAUCAGCUGUAAUUUAAAGAAAUAUCAAAAUUUUCCAACAAAACAAACAAAAAAGUUUCAUGGAUCAUAUCUCAAAGAAUUAGGUGGACUAUUUAGGCCCAUGAUCAAGAUCUUUCAAUCAACUCUAUCCUACGGUCAUGAGCCUAAGUAAAGAAUACACUUCACAACCACACACAAACAUUUCCCAGAAAACAGAGCAGCUCUUUCCGGCGCUGUAUAGUUCCCAACCCAACCCAGUACAUUCAAAAGACUAGUUCGAUUUCAGAGUUUGAGAUCCAUCAACCUUCAAAUCCAAAAUCCCACUCACUUCACCAACAAUCCAUCGUUGUUUUGAGCUCGAUCUCAAUCCUCUGCUCUUCAAGGAAACAGAGCCCGAAGGAGAAGAAGAAGAAGAAGAAGAAGAAGAAGAAGAAUGGAUGCUAUAAGAAAGCAAGCUAGUAAGCUCCGAGAGCAGGUCGCCAAGCAGCAGCAGGUGAUUUACGAACAACCCAUUUAUUUGUUUUGAGUAUAAUCUUCUUGUUCUUGUUAUUUUUGAAGUAAAGUUUUAAGCUUGCUAAUUGACUGUUUGGUUACUGAGAAAAUGUGGCGGUGGAUUCGUGCUUUAUGUUUGUGUUGGUUUACUAAAUUAUGAACGGGGAUGUAAAUUUGAAGCGAUUUCAGUGGUGCCCGGUUCGUUAUUCGAUCGAAAAUUUUACUGUUGUUGAUCUUCUUGAGAGAGGAAUGGUGCUAGUUAAUUGAAUUAAGCAAAUUCUGUUCAUUUCGAUUUGAAUCCGGAACACCUGAAUCUCAAAAUUUGUAAUUUUGUUCCUUUUCUGCAAUCUGUAUUAGAUCAAUGGAGAAAAUGUAGUAUGAAUUUAUGCUGUAUUUAUAUCGAAUUUCUUGGUGAAGAUCAAAUUCAUUGUUUCUUAAAUGGACCCAAUUUUGGUAAUUAUCUAUAUACUUUUGUUGACAAAUUCAGUAGUGGAGGAUGAGUUUUGGUAGCACACUUUAUGCAAUAUAUAGCGUGUUUGAUGAUAGUGGAGAUAAGUGUAGAAAAUACCACCCUCGGAUUGCUAACUUAAAUGAUUUAAGUUCAUAUAGCGUGCCAUUAUGGUUCUUCCGUGACUCCGUUCUUGCUAUUUACCUACUUUUUUUGGCUUGUUAGAAAUAUUCACCCAUCAAUUAGUUGCUAUUGUUUCUGUCCAUCAAAUUAAUGUUAUAGUUUUGUUUUUGAAUCUUCAGGCUGUGAUAAAGCAGUUCGGUGGGACUGGUUAUGAAAGCUCAGAUGUGAUGGUAAUAGAUGAGGUUGAGAUGCAGAGGCAUCAGCAGCUAGAGAAACUGUACAGGUCCACUCGCGCAGGAAAGGUACAUGUGACCAAGAACCAUUUUGAAAUUAUACAUUAACUUGAAACGAUCUAUUCUUUCUAUCUUCAUUAAAAAAAGAAGCAAAGCAUUCCUGUCGUGCUUUUCUAAGAUGUUUAAUAUCUUUGAGGUUGGUGCUGGAAACUAAUUUGCACAUUGUUUAUUCUCAGGAUUUUCAGAAAGAAGUUGUUAAAGCAGCAGAAGCGUUCACAGUCAUAGGUUAUAAGCAUAUUGAAGCAGGUAGAAAUUUGUUAUUCGUUUUCAGUGACAUUGGAUGAUCUAUGGGGCAAAGUGUAUAGGAGUGAAUAACCUAGCCUAUGAAAUUAGUUUCAGAACUUCACUUGGUAAAUGGAACACAUAUGCCUUUGUAGUUGCACUUAUUACUUGUAAUCUUUUUGUGGUAGCCAGGAACCAAGUUGUCCGAGGAUUGUAGCAGAUAUGGUGCAGAAAACUCCAGUGACAAGAUUUUAGCUAAGGGUGCAUCUAUAUAUGGUGAUGCUCGUAAGCAUGUAGAAAAGGAACAAGAAGAUUUGAAUAAGCUGUUAUCUUCACAGGUUGACUUCUGAAUAUAAUUUUAUUGAUGGUGUGCUUAUGACUUCAUCAUUGGGUAGUUUCUACCAUUUGUUGUAAUUCGUCAACGAUUCUUAGAGAAAUUAGUUACAUUGUUGGAUGCAGGAUUCAUCCGUACACAGACACGCUCGCACAUACAUCAUUUUAUAUAACUUUUUGGAUGACAGAAGUCUUCUGUAUUUCUGACGAUUAUUUCUCAACCAUGGUUGCGUUUUAGUCAUCAUUGAAGUAUUGUAGCCAUUUUUGUGCUGUGCUGCAGGACGUGAAUUCUAUCACUAAUAUUUUUUAUAGAGUACGUGUUUGUGGAUUAGAAUUAUAUUUAUACUUACCCUUGAAGCUUUUGAGUAGCUUGCAACUUUAGAUGGACUUGUAAUACCAUUACAUUUGUAUAAGUCCACUUCGUUUUUGAAGAUUGUAAUAAUAAUAAUAAUAAAAGUAUUCAUGAGUUAAGAUGGAGCAUGUAACUUAUCCUUCACUGUUUUUUAUAGAUUUUAGAUCCGUUAAGAGCAAUGAUAGCUGGUGCACCUUUGGAAGAUGCUCGUCAUCUUGCUCAACGUUAUAGUCGAAUGAGACAGGAAGCAGAGACACAGGUAAAAUACAUUCCUAUCUUAUCAUGUUUGAUAAUAUUUGCCUUUUGCCAACAUAUUAGUGACCUUAAGAAAACAACAGGCGGUAGAAGUGUCCAGAAGACAAGCACGAGUAAGAGAACUUCCAAAUCCUGAUAACGUUGCAAAGCUGCAGGCAGCGGAAGCAAAGAUGAAAGAAUUGAAAGCAAACAUGGCAGUUCUGGGUAUAGAAGCUUCAGCUGCAUUGGCUGCUGUGGAAGCACAGCAGCAAAGACUAACUUUCCAGAGGCUUGUUGCACUGGUAAGAAUGCACAUGAUUUUCCGAGUAUUAGUUUUUAUGUUGAAGAUUAUAGUGAUUCUUCAGUUAUACACGUAUUAACCUUAGCACUGUUAAGGUUGAAGGAGAAAAGAAUUAUCAUCUGAGAGUGGCUGCCAUACUUGGUGAGGUUGAAGCGGAGGUCAGUUCCACUUACGAUUGUCUUUAAAAGGAAAGCAUUUCCGAUUUAACUAUAUGAACUGAUGUCAUGGCCUGGAUUUUGUGGCAGUUGGUCUCAGAGAAACAGCGGAAAGAGUCUGCUCCUCCUGUGAUUCCACAAGAGAACGGCUCAGAGAAAACAAUGUACUUCUUGGCUGAAGUACGUUACUUUUCUUAUCCUGGAUGCUGUAUUUCUGAUUGCUCAAUCAAACUUAAAGUAUUAAAAGAAACUUUAUUUACCCUUUAUACAAAGAUUAACACGAGAAUAUAAGAUAGGCUGCACAAUGCAGGGGUCAUAUAGUUGCAGAGAAGGUUAACAAUAUAGGUUGUAUAGAAAGAAGGGAGAGAGGAAUUAACAGAUAAGUUAAACUUAAGAUACUAAAAGAUGAAAUAAGUGUUCUUCGUUUUUCUAUUCCUUAGGACCGUGGGCCUUCAAUAUCCAGUUUCGUGCCUGUUUCACCCAUUCUUGAACUGGCUCUACGACGUAUCAUAUUUUAAGUACGUCUAAGAAUCUGAACUUCUAAUGUUUUUACUCUUUCAGGCAACACAUUCUUUCAGUGCUGCAUCAGAGAAGGAGCUAAGCUUGUCAGUCGGUGACUAUGUUGUUGUGCGAAAGGUAAUCUCCUCGAGACCAGCCUUUAUUGUUCGUCAACCAUAAACGAAAACUAGGCCAUGAUUUGUUGGGAUGCUCUGGAUGAAACUUGCCAAAUCUUAAGUUUUUUUUUUCUUUCCUUUUUUGAAUUAACGUGCCUAACAUUCUCUUGUUUGCUGAUCUGGAAAACUUUUUAUCCAGGUGAGUCCAUCAGGAUGGUCGGAAGGAGAGUGCAAGGGAAAAGGAGGAUGGUUUCCGACAGCCUACGUGGAGAAACGCCAGCGGAUUCCAUCCAGCGAUCUCGGGGGUGAAGAUUACUGAGCCCUCCCCAACACCUGGUAGUUAGUUUCCUCUUUACGACUCUCAUCAUGUACAAAAUAACAAAAGAUUGUCUGGUCAUGAUGUUUGGUUUUCUCGUGCGCUCGUUUGGCCUUGUCCCAUGAUGUAGUCGGGACAUGCGUGUGCAUAUUGUUUCUUACAAAUUUUCCAGACAAUGCAUUUUCGUGAAUGCUACAUGAUUAUGUAAUUUGAUGAUUCGCGUUGUUUGUAAAAAAAUGGUCAUCAGUUUAACAAAUUUCAACUGAUACUGCCAAAAAGGAGACAAAUUAUCUAUUCUAUUCUAUUAAGAGAAGAGGGCUCGUCAACUUUUUGCCCCCUUUUCUUUCAAUUUUGCCCUCACUUUUGAAUAUACAAUGUUGACAUAAGGGGGCAAAAUAGUAAUUUUGUAUCUUUUGAAAUUUUCUUCUUUUUUCCUAUUUUGCCCUCACUUUUGAUGUAAAGGGCAAAAUAGUAAUUUUGUAUCGAAAUAUUUAUAUAAGAUAAAAAAUAUGCACUUAUUAAGAAAAAUUGUCCCAUCAUCAUUUUUUCACACAUGUAAGUGAAAUCAUGAUGUUUUUUGGAUAGUUUGAAUGACCUGAAGCGGUUGCGCUUGAGGAGAACGUGAGAGGAGGUGGGUGGUUAAGGAUGCUUUAAUUUUGUACCUUUUGACAAAAUGAUAAUCAUAUCCUUAUUUUUCUUAUUUUACCCUCAUUUUUUAAGAAUAUGACAAUCAUAUACCUAUUCUGUGCUCUCUGCUAGUAGCCAAUUAAAACAAGAAAGACUUGAGCAAUCUUUAUCUUCCUUCUCACAUUGAACUUGUGUGAAGUGCCACAAAAGAUGCACAAGCACCAUCGCCGAUCUUCAUGAGAAAUUCGUGGCUUCCCUUCGCGGCCGCCACGCCAUUCUUCACCACUGCAAUUGCGUCGGUGUUUUUUAUGGUGGUAAGACGAUGAGCAACGACAAUGGUUACUCGUUGCUUCUGCCCUCCCGGUAACUGCACCCCUCCGUUCCCUGACAGGGGUGUCAUAUAGCCUUGAGGCAAUGAAGAGGUGAAACCGUGUGCAUGGUCACCAAAUGGUCACCAAAGCCUGCAAUUGUCUGAAGAAUCUAACUCAAAUGCAAGACUUAGGAGAUUUUUUUGGUGUCCACGGAAUACGAGAUUGUACAUUACGUGUCAUUAUACAAAUAGUGUGAUACUUGAAAAAUAAAAAUUUCCUUAAUUUAUAUAAUAACAUAUGAUGUUACAAUUCGUGUCUUGAGCUGAAAACUUCUCAAAAUAAAGUGCAAAAUAAAUAAAUAAUAAAAUAAUUAUUAAUAUUUUAUUUAUAAUAAAUGUAAGCUCUAAAUUUUCUAUAUUUAAAAAAAAAAAAUUUGAAUGAAACAGCCAACCGACGAGAAAGGAUGAGAUCAAUCUACCCCACGCCAUAAUCAAAUACCCCAACGUCUCUCCUCUUCUCCUUAUACUUUGUAGCCAUGACCUUCACUGUAAAACCAUAAUUUCUUUUUAAAUAGUUCAGAUUACUUAGUAGUAUUAAAAAUAAAAAGUCAUGAUUGAAUUGAAAAAAAAUAGUAUUUUUACUUAUUUGCCAACUUAAUGAAUAUAAAACCGAACUAUCAAGUAAAACUCACAGGUGUAGUCAGCCUAAAGGCUACCAUGGGCUAUAGUCCAAGUAGCUUUCGGUGAAAAACAAAGUUUUACAUGUAAUUUUUUUGAUUUCCGAAGGUAACCCAUCAUAUAUUUAGGCAUUAAUCCUAAUUCUCUUAGUUUAAUUACAUAAAAUUAUAUAAUACAACUUACAAACAAUCUCUUUUUCUUAUAUCAUUUUUCUUGUGGCUUCUUGUACACAUAUAUAUAUAUAUAUUUAAAAUUGGGAUUUGUUUGACUUUUAACACAUGUUUAAUAACAAAAAAAAUUCUUGGAUCACCUUGUCAAGCUUUUCAUAAGCUAAUUGAUACUGUGAAAAAUACAUUAUCAAUUUCUUUGUUCAUAAAGAUUUAAACUUUAAACUAGCUUACCCGGUGAAAAAUUUCUAGCUCUGCCCAUAAUAAUACUAAUACGUACUGCUCAGUACUAUAUAAAAUAAACGGUAACAUCAUACUUAAAGGAGAAAAUAAAUUCUAAACUAUCAUUCAACUGUGCAUUUUUUGGAAUCCGGAUUCUCACAGGAUCCUUUUUAUGAGGAUCUCGGAGAUCCAUAAAUCAUAUCCGUUUAUCGUACAUCGUACGAUUAGAAAUCAUUUUAAAUAUUUUUAUUUAAAAUUAAAUACAAAUAAUGUCUGAUAAAAAACUGAUCGCAUAAUGUACGAUGAACAUACAUAAUUUACGAAUCUCUAAAAUACUUACCGAAAGGAUCUAGAGAUCCUGUUGGCAUUUUUUGUUCACUACAAAGUGAAAAACUGAAAUGUGAAGCUCUUCUAGAAAAGAGUGCAUCCUGGUGCUUGUGAUUGUGAAUUUAAGAAGCAAUAAUGGCAAAUCUACCAAGAUAAUUUUCUAGACUUCUGUAAGCAAAUGGUCUGCGUAGAAGAUGACGUUACAGUAUACAUGGAUUAGCUGCAUAGUUCGGAUGAAGUAUUUUUGCUCAUAAUCAUAAAUUAUAAUGUAUGAUAAUCAUACACCUAAUUAUCUAUCACGUAUUAUUUCACUCAAUAUUGGUUAAAUUUUUUCUCAAAAUUAUAAAAGUAACAUUUAGUAUGAAAGUUAACUAGAAUUGAAUGAGAAAAAACACGUAAGAGAUGAUUAGGGGCAUAAUGAGCAUAUUAAAAUAAUAAAACAUACGUUCAAAUGCUCCUUAGUUCGGAUAAGAUAUGGUGACAGAAGUAAUGAGAUUCAUCAUUCACCUAGUUUAGUACCAUUUAAAUAAAUAAAAAAAAUUACGUAUGUGAUAUACUUUCCUUAGUUCCUAUUCAAUAUGUGGCAUAUCAAAAGAAUAAACAUAUUAUUAGUUACUUUUGUAAAACUAUAUAGAUAUCAAUUGACACUAACUUGCUAAUUGGCAGAAUUUUGUACCUCAAGUUGCUGCUUCAAUGUUUCGAUUGAAGAAGAAACUCUCAUGCUGAUUUCUUUAUUCAAACGAUGUAAUUGUUGUUGCUUUUGCAUGCGGUCGGUCGGUCUGUCCCUUUCUUCCUUCACAAAUCUCAACAGUUUAAAGGUCAUUCAUACGAAUCCAAUUGUCGAAUUCGGUUUUUCUCGUAAACGUGCUUUUUGAGUUGUUUUAUUUAAACAAAAAUUUGAAAAAUUGAAGAUGCACGUUGGUGCUAAGUUUAAUUUUUACCGAUUUUUCAGAUUCCUAAUUUUUGAUAAUUUAAUUAACUUAUAAUAUUGUUUGUCAACAAAUAAUAACUUUUUUUUUGGUUAACAAUAAUAAUUCUUGUUAAAUUGGAUUACAAUUAAACUAAAUUGAGAGAGGAAAGGAGAAAUUUCGAAAAAAAAAAGAGAGGAAAGGAGAAAAAGGAGCCUUAGAGUGAGGAAGCGAUAAAAAUCAAUGUAGCAGCUGAUUAGUAGGACUCUGAUGUAUAUGUUGCAUCCAAACACCAAAUCAUCUUUUGACUAAUGACAAAUUUUUCAGUUUGAUCGAAACAUGACUGAUUAAAUUACCUAUUAUUAUUUAAGUGGAAAUAUAUUUGAAUAAUAUGUAUUAGGGGCGCACUGAAAAAUCUCUAGCCUAACUAACUAGUUGUCCUAGUUGUACACUCUUUUUCCUUUUCCACCUCACACCACCACACCAUAAAGCACAUAGGGCACACAAAAAGUUGAUAUCUCACUUUGUCCUCCUACACAAUUCUCCUCAUCAAACAACAACGAAGGAGACCGAUCAUCUUCUAGAGAGAUAUAUAUAUAGAGAGAGAGAGAGAUCAUCUUCUUCGAAUUAGGGCAACUGCCAUGGAAGGAGGAAGCGGAGGAGGAGAUGGAAAAGCAGAAGUUAAUAAUAAUAGCGGGUCACAAGCGAAAGCAGAUCAAGAAAAGCAGAAAGUGGCCUUCUAUAAACUCUUUGCGUUUGCAGACCGUUUGGACAUUGCGUUGAUGAUCGUUGGAACGAUAUCUGCGGUGGGGAAUGGUCUGUCGCAGCCACUCAUGACUCUUGUGUUUGGUAAUCUUAUCAACACCUUUGGUUCCACCGAUCCUGGUCACAUCGUUCCCUUGAUCUCUAAGGUAUAUAUAUACCUGUAUAUACAUACAUGCAUUCGUAUUCUUGGUUACAAGAACAUCAAGAUGCUUGGUUUUCUGGGUUUUUUUCCUCCAUUCUUCCGAAUACAACGAGAUUUUGGGUUUCUGAGUUUUCUGGGUUCUAUGAUUGGAAUAGACACAUGCACGUUUAUUUCUCUUUUUUUUGUUUUUUGGUAAAGAUAAUAUAUUUAUUCUCUUUUUUUGGUAAAGAUUAUAUUUAUUUCUCGAAACACUGAAAAUCUUUAGAAUUCAAAAAGUGUACAGCUUUCUUUGCGUUUCUUGAAAGUUGAAAAGAGCCCUAUUGUUUUAUCUUUUUCCAUAAAAAGGAAAAUCUAUAUUUCUUUCAAUCACAUUAAGCCAAAAAUCACGGCGACCAAAAAAUGUGAAUACGGUAUCAAACAAAACCACUUUUUCUAGGUUACUUCUCAUGUUCCAAGUGAUUUUUUCUCGAUUUUAUUUAUUUAUUUAUUUAUUUAUUUUUUUUGUUGUUGUUGCAGGUGUCUCUAAAAUUUGUGUACUUGGCCAUUGGCACUGGAGCUGCAGCACUUCUACGUAAGUCUCAAUAAUCCUAAUUUUUUUUUCUAUUUUUCUUCCCCAAUUUUUUUUGUUAAUCGGGUUUAAUUCUUUGAUUAAUUACACCAGUAGGUUGAUUAAAUUGUUUGUGUGAAUUUGCAGAGGUGGCAUGUUGGAUGGUGACAGGAGAAAGGCAGGCUGCUAGAAUUAGAGGCAAGUACAUGAAGGCAAUCCUAAGGCAGGACAUUGGCUUCUUUGACACUGAAACUAGCACUGGAGAGAUCAUUGGCAGGAUGUCUGGGGACACCAUUCUUAUUCAAGAAGCCAUGGGGGAAAAGGUAAUUAACUUACUAAUUAAGCUACUUUGUUUUUUGGUUAACUGCUAAUUAAUCUAGCUACUUAACUGGAUGACUUCAUUUCCUGUGCCCUAUUCACUCUCUUCCUUCUCAUUCAUUGAUCUAAGACAACUCUUAACCGAUUAAAGGCACCUGAUUAAUAUUUAACUUUUAAUUCAAGACAGUUGGGCAAAGGUCCUUAAAUUUGCCCUCCAACUAAGUCUUGUUGCAGAUUUUAUCCUUUGAAGUCCUUCAUUUCUGGGUUUUAAUUCAUGUUGUUCUUGUUAUGUAAUAGAUGAUUAGGAUUAUAACAUUUUAAGAGUGUGUGUUGUGUCAGUUGUCAUAGUAGCUGUGAGUGUUUAAGUGAUUAUGUGUUGUGCACGUGAUCGAACUCAUGCUGCAAAUGUCAUGGAAUUGCAACGGCUAUCUUCCCUUAGUUGCAACAUGAGUUCGAUUGAGGGAAUUGCAACGGUGGGGGUAAAGAAAAGCAACGACUUUAAAUAGGAUUAUCCCACUCUAACUAAUACUGAGGCAUGUUGUGGUAAAACCUCACAUCUGACAGAUUGAGCAGGUGGUAAAGUUGGGGACAAUAUCGAUGUCGUUAGGGUGGGGCACCCUGAGCCCGUCGAUCUAAAAAAUUUCAACAUAGUAUCAGAGCCUACAGUUACGGGCCCAUGCAAGCCAAAGGCUUGUCAUCAGGAAGUGUGGGCUUGGUAACAAGUUUGGACUCUUAACAUAGAGUUGACCUUUGAGUUUUUAAGAGUCAUUUCCUGAAAAGAUUGAAAACAAGUCUGGACUCCAUUGAAGUCGACCUCUGAGUUUUAAUUGCCGAUGUAUGAAUCUCCACGUGUGAACCACUAAAUUGGGUUUCACAUGAAGGGGCGUGUUAACAGUCCCACAUCGGUGGGGGUAAAGAAAAGCAAUGACUUUAAAUAGGAUUAUCUCACUCUAACUAAUAUCAAGGCUUUUUGUGGUAAAGCCCCACACCUGACGGAUUGGGCAUGUGGUAAAGCUGGGGACAAUAUCGGUGUCGUUAGAGUGGGAGGCCCUCCCGGGCUCGUCGAUCUAAAAAAUUUCAACACUAACAUGGUAUUAGAGCCAUGUUCGACUUGAAUCAAGGAGUGUGAAUCUGUGAUUUAGUUUUAUGGGUCUUCAAUGAAGAACCUCAACUGAAUCGAAGAAAGAAAUGACCUCAUUGCAAGAGAUGCAAGGGGAUUGUGAUUGAUUCAUGGAGCUGUGUGCGAUGAGAUUCUCCCUCUAAUUGCAAAUCAAGAAACAACAAAGGAGGCAUAGAAUGUCUUGAAGCAAGAGUACAAGGGUGAUUCACAGAAGGCUGUGAAAUUUCAAGGUAUUCGUCAUGCUUUUGAAUAUGCUAGAAUGAGAAAUGGUGAAGCAUUGUCUGAUUAUUUGAAUGAGAAAUGGUGAAGCAUUGUCUGAUUAUUUGACUAGGCUGUUUGGAUUGACUAACUAAAUGAAAAUGUAUGGUGAAGUGUCUAAUAAGAGGAUUGUAGAGAACUCAUUGGUAAGUCUUAUCCCAACAUGUGAUAAUAUGGUAUUUGUGAUUGAGGUAAUUAUGAAAAUUAGUAAGGUAGAUCCGACUGAGGUUGUAUCAACUUUCAGGGGUUUUGAACAAAGAUUGUUGAGACAUGCUGAAGAUGGAGAUGUGAAUGAGAGGGCCUUCGCUAGUCUUCGUAUUCAAUCAAAUAGUAGCUCAUAGGUUGGUGAUUUCAAGGGCAAGAAGCUUGGGAAGAACAAGGAGAAAAGAGGAUAUGUAAAACCUAAUGAGAAGCCUAAUGCAGUUGUGAAGUAUAAUAGAAAUAGGGAAAAUUCGAAAGAGAGUUGCAGGACUUGCGGCAAUUUGCAUUUUAGUGAGUGUUGGUUCAAAGGAAAACCAAAAUAUCAUAAGUGUGAUUAAUUUGGUCACAUUGCCAAGGACUACAGAAGUAAGAUAGUGCAGUAAAUACACUAUGCCAAAGAACUUAGAGAAGAAACAAAUAUGUUCUUUGCUUGCAAUUCUGCAUCAGUUGUUAAGGGUGAACUUUGCAAGUCUGAGCAAUUGUAUGAUAUUUUCACAAAUGCCUUCCCAAAGGAUAUAUUUUACAUGCUCAGAUGAUUGCUUGGAGUUAAAUCUUGAAGAAGUUUAGAAGGGAGUGUUAAAGUAUUAGUCCUUCUGCGGUAGUUUGGUAGGCGUCUAUCUCUCAGGAUUCAACAAUCUAUAAUCCGAAGUCAAAGAACUUCAAUCUUCGGACUCUGGCGAACCCAAUAUAUUCCGUACUCUCAAGACACGACUCAAAAUUUAACUAACAAUGAGUGAGUGAAACAAAGUGGGGAAAUCCUAUUUCUCAAGAAUAAAAAUUAACUCUAAUUUUCUCUACCUUUAAUGAUAAUGGUUUCAUGGGUUUAUAUAGAACCCAUUGUGUUGUUUGGUGAAAAGAUGCAACUUUGCAUCUAUGUAACCUACACCACUCAUCAAACUACACAUCCCAUAUACAAAUAAUAUGAUGCAAUUCUUUGCAUCAGACACAACAAUUGAGAAUAAACAAGAUUACUUUUUUUAUUUAAUAUUUUGAAAUUAAAUAAUAAUAUCCAAUAAACAUUAUAAUAUAAAUUUCCAACACUCUUAGUUGCAGAGAGUGAUGUGUAACAGAAUUCAGAUCGAAUCCAAGGAGCAACGUACUCCACUUUUCUUCCUCCAUUGUUCUCUGUAAUUUCAGCUCGCUGAGCUAAUCAAUUUCUUGAGGAUUUCAUUUUCAAAUCUCAUCAAAACAAUCCACAAACACAUACAAACACUAGCACGGCAAACUGCCUACCUAAAUAGAGCAUGGAUUGUGCCGCGAGCUGCUGCUUCCUUGUGCAAGUUCUUUGUCUCUAUACGUCACAAAAGGCAAUGUUGUCUAACUGAAAAAUGUUAGCAGUAUAGAAUGAAGUUUUGAAGGGUUCAUUUUUUAUAACCUUUUGUUAAUUAUAAUUUACUUAAUUAGUUUGGUCCCCCUCGACAUCUUAUAAUGUUAGUAAAAAACCCUUCAAAUAGCAAAGAAGACCCGUCAUCUGGUGUGCAAUGGCAUAAUAAUACUUGAGUCCGCGGGUUAAUUUUUCUUUUCAGAUCGGUGCUGUAAGUAUUUCUGACAAUGAAAGGGAGUUUUGAAGGGUUUGUUUGUGAAGAAGUCUUCUUACUUGUGGUUUCAUUUGGUCUUCAACUUGACAUAUAUGCAUUUAUAGUGAGGGGUUGGUUAAUUUGUGGCAGGUGGGGAAAUUUAUACAACUUUGUUCUACCUUUCUUGGUGGUUUUAUGAUUGCUUUUGUCAAAGGGUGGCGCCUAGCCAUUGUAUUGCUGGCUACCAUUCCUGCCAUUGUCAUUGCUGGUGCAACCAUGGCUACUAUCAUGGCGAGAAUGUCAUCCCGCGGACAGACUGCUUAUGCAGAAGCUGGCAAUAUAGUAGAACAAACAGUUGGUUCCAUUAGAACAGUAAGGCCUUGAUGCUAAACCUCUUUAAUUCAAAUCUUCAGAGUUCAUAAAUAAUUACAUUAUAUAUCUUAAUUAAUUAGCGUUUGAAAAAUAAAAAAUGUGUUUCAGGUUGCAUCUUUCACUGGGGAGAAGCAAGCGAUUGAAAAGUACAACCAGAAGCUAAAAGUUGCUUACAAUACUAUGGUUCAACAAGGGCUAGUCACAGGGCUUGGACUCGGAAUAUUUAUGCUCGUCAUCUUCUGCACGUACGCGCUUGCGGUAUGGUAUGGAUCCAAAAUGAUCAUCAGACAUGGAUACAAUGGAGGCCAAGUUAUCAAUGUUAUAUUUGCACUCAUGACUGGCGGAAUGUAAGUAUAUAGACCGGUUUUCCUGAUUCGGUAAUGGCAUGAUAUAUUAUAGAACCAUGUUCAAUGUGCAUGCUUAACUAUCUUUCGUAAAUGUUUUCGUGAAUAUAUGAUGACAUUUUUCACUUUCUGAAACAUUUUCAUUGUGGUUUGUUUGAUUAGGUCACUCGGUCAGGCAUCACCAUCGUUGAAUGCAUUCGCAUCAGGGAAAGCUGCUGCAUAUAAAAUGUUUGAGACCAUCAGCCGAAAUCCAACUAUAGAUCCCUACGAUGCAGGUGGAAUUGUAUUGCAAGAUGUUAAAGGUGAUGUCGAACUCAAAGACGUGUAUUUCAGGUACCCUGCCAGACCAGACGUGAAGAUCUUUGUUGGGUUCUCAUUAUAUGUUCCAAGUGGCACAACCACUGCUUUGGUUGGGCAGAGUGGAAGUGGGAAGUCGACAGUGAUCGGGCUAGUAGAAAGGUUUUAUGAUCCAGAAGCCGGUGAAGUACUUAUAGAUGGCGUGGACUUGAAGAAGUUGCAGCUUAAAGCGAUAAGAGAGAAGAUUGGGCUGGUUAGUCAGGAACCGAAUCUCUUUACAACAACCAUAAGGGAGAACAUAAAAUAUGGGAAGGAUGAUGCAACUGAUGAGGAGAUUAGAAGAGCAACUGAGCUCGCAAAUGCAGCAAAAUUCAUUGAUAAGCUACCCCAGGUAAACCGACUUUUUUAUGCAGUUUUUCAUGAUCUUAUAAAGUUCUAUUUGACCCUUUUUUUUGGAGAUUGGUAACUGUAAUAUAAAAUCCUGCUUUCCUUUCCAGGGGAUCGACACAAUGGUAGGUGAGCACGGGACAUCUCUAUCUGGUGGGCAAAAGCAGAGAAUUGCAAUUGCAAGAGCCAUUCUAAAGAACCCGAGAAUUCUUCUUCUUGAUGAAGCAACAAGCGCGCUGGAUGCUGAGUCCGAAAAGAUUGUUCAAGAUGCACUGGUGAACUUGAUGUCAAAUCGCACAACCAUAGUUGUUGCGCAUCGCUUGACAACUAUUAGGAAUGCUGAUUGCAUAGCAGUGGUGCACAGAGGCAAAAUUGUUGAAAAAGGUGAGUACAAUACGCGUGCCAAUCUAUCAUUCUCAAUUUCAACAAACUUGAUCCUUAAGUUAACUUUUCCGUUGGAUUGGUUAUAGGGACUCAUAAUGAGUUGACCAAAGAUCCGGAAGGGGCUUACAGCCAAUUAAUCCGCCUGCAAGAAGGAUCAAAAGUUGACAACGAAGCACAAACCUCUGAUCCGAAUAGAAUGGACACCAGCCUAGAUACAGAUAGGACUUUGCUCAGCUCUGGGAGCCGGAGAUUAUCAAUGAGGAGGUCUAUAAGCAGAGGUUCAUCAGGUAACCGGCACUCAUUUACUAUUGGCUUUGGCAUUCCCGGUCCAGUUGAUAUCCAAGAGAGUGAAGUAGGACACGAGGAUGAUCAUGACAGACCUAAAGUUGAUCCUGAAAAGCGCAAAACAGUUUCUAUCCGAAGGCUGGCUGCACUUAACAAACCUGAGGCUCCAGUUUUGCUUCUAGGAGCCAUUGCUGCAGCAGGGCAUGGAGUAAUUUUCCCUAUCUUUGCGUUACUACUCUCGAAAGCCAUUAGAAUGUUCUACGAACCGCCCAAUGAGCUAAGGCAUGAUUCCAGAAAAUGGGCGUUAGUUUAUGUAGGUUUAGGUUGCGCUGCUCUGUUGGUGAUUCCUGUGCAGAAUUUCUUCUUUGGAGUUGCAGGUGGGAAAUUAGUGGAGCGAAUUCGUUCCUUGUCAUUCCAGAAGGUUGUGCACCAGCAAGUCAGUUGGUUUGAUGACCCUGCAAAUUCAAGGUAUGUUAAAUGAAAAAGUAAUUUUCGCGAGCUUUGAACUCUCAAUAUUUCAACUGAAAUAUUUUGUUCUUUCAGCGGUGCGAUUGGUGCAAGGUUAUCUACGGAUGCUUCAACCAUUAAGAGUCUUGUUGGUGACGCCUUAGCGUUGAUUGUGCAGAAUAUAGCAACAAUCAUCGCAGGGCUGAUUAUAGGUUUCACAGCUAACUGGAAACUGACGCUGGUAGUUUUAGCCGUUUCGCCAUUGAUGCUUCUGCAAGGAACACUUCAGGCAAAAUUUCUUAAAGGGUUUAGUGCAGAUGCCAAGGUGAGAGUCUUGCCCCAAGAGUUUUUUUAUUUUGUCAAAUAAAAAAUUUGUUGAAUGUACUUGUAACAUUUUGAAUAUCUGCAGCUUAUGUAUGAGGAAGCCAGUCAAGUGGCAAACGAUGCGAUUGGUAGCAUCCGAACGGUUGCAUCUUUUUGUUCUGAGAAGAAGGUGAUAGAGGCAUACGAGAAGAAGUGUGAGGGUCCGUUGAAGCAAGGAGUACGGUUAGGAGUAGUAAGUGGUUCGGGUUUUGGCUUUUCGUUCUUCUUAAUGUUCUGCACAAAUGCAUUGGUAUUCUAUGUUGGAGCUAUUCUUGUGAAGCAUGGUCAAGCUACAUUUGAACAAGUAUUCAAGGUGAUAUUUUUGCUGCUACAGUUCCUUAGCUUCUUCGACAAGUGCUCCUGCUCUAACUCUAAUGAUUCAUUUUUUUUUUUUUUUUGCAGGUUUUCUUCGCUGUAACAAUCUCUGCAAUGGGGGUCUCACAAUCUACUAGCAUGGCCCCUGACUCCAACAAAGCCAAGGACUCAUCGGCUUCGAUAUUUCAAAUUCUCGACAGCAAACCUAAGAUUGACUCGAGCAGUAAUGAAGGCGUAACAUUAUCACAUUUAAUUGGAGACAUCGAGCUUGAGCAUGUCAGCUUUAAGUAUCCUAUGCGCCCGGAUGUGCAGAUAUUCAGAGACAUUUGUUUGAAGAUGCCCUCCGGAAAGGUAAUUACCACCACUAGUGAGUCUGUCUGUUUUGUUUAUUUGCAUUUGAGUUAUGGGAACUGGUUUCUGCAACACCGCUGUUUUGGCAUUUGAAUUUAAUGAAUCAAAGGAGAAUCAAGGGAAAAAAGUAAAUAGGGUGUGCCGAAAUCUCUUCCCUUCAGUCAUAUAUAUGCAAACUUAGCUUAAAAUUCCAUCCGCAGACUGUUGCUUUGGUUGGAGAGAGUGGCAGCGGGAAAUCAACGGUAAUAGGCCUCAUAGAGAGAUUCUACGAUCCUGAUUCAGGUCGCGUACUACUAGACGGAGUAGAAAUCCAAAAGUUCAAGCUAAACUGGCUGAGGCAGCAGAUAGGGUUGGUUGGUCAAGAACCAGUUCUCUUCAACGAAUCCAUUCGUGCCAACAUUGCAUAUGGCAAGCCAGGAGAUGUUACCGAGGAAGAAAUCAUAGCAGCGACCACAGCAGCUAACGUGCACAAUGUCAUAUCUUCAUUGCCUCAAGGCUACGACACCUCAGUAGGUGAACGAGGGGUUCAACUGUCAGGAGGUCAGAAGCAAAGAAUUGCCAUUGCGAGGGCUAUACUCAAGGACCCGAAAAUCCUCCUACUUGAUGAAGCUACAAGUGCACUGGAUGCAGAGUCCGAACGCAAAGUACAAGACGCAUUGGACAGGGUUAUGGUGAACAGAACAACAGUUGUAGUUGCGCACCGCCUUAGCACGAUAAAAGGAGCAGACAUAAUCGCGGUGGUGAAGAAUGGCGUGAUUGCGGAGAAGGGAAGCCAUGAUUUCCUAAUGAAGAUCACUGACGGGGCUUAUGCUUCUUUGGUGGCACUUAAUUCCAGCUCAAAUACAUAAGUAGAUAAAGAACUCAGACAACCAGAAUCCGAGUAUAUAUUUGGUAUUACAUACCUAAGACACACAUUGCAGUGGAUGGAUGUGUGACUGCAGAAACUGUAAGCUAAAGAUGUUUAAGUUUGUGUUUGGACAUGAGUUUAGUACUUAAUCACGCUAUGUGGCACGUUAAAUGGAUGCCACUGAAGAGUGUUUAAGGUUAAGUGUUGGUUUGGUGUUAAGUUAUUUAAGCCUAACUGGCUGCCUAUCUAAUAUAAUUUCGUGUUCCUGAUUGUUUGUAGUGAUGUUUGGUUCCAAUAUAAUUUCUUCACACAAGCCUUCACGUACUCAUGCUUCUCUUUGUUGGGAGCCUCCACAGGAGGGAACUGAGCAUACCAAUGUUCAAGCUUGAAGCUUCGUUUGUUUCUUUCACAAGCAGAAUUUCGACGAGCCAAAUACAACCCAAACUUAAAGGCAAGUUCGAGUUGUUUCAAAACGAUUUACAACCCUACAACACAGCUCAGAUUAACAACUCACAAUGCAGUCUACCAACUCAAAUUAUCUAGUGUUCCUUUUUCAAACUCAUGAAAAUUUAUACCUUCAUUCAUUCUUCAUCCAGCAGCCUCCUUCAGUCUAGCCGGAUGAGCCGCUUGAUCAUCCGUCUCUGCUUCCACAUCCGUCUUGUUAGGGUGGCAUCGCUACUAGUAUGCCGACUACUGACAACAUCGUUCGUCCUCUCAGUUGAGACAACAUUCCUGUCCGGACUUGGAUUCUCUGUAAGUGUUAUUUUCUUUCACGUAGCCGACGUGCAUGGAGGGAGUUUUGCUCGAGAGAGAAUACGCAUCAAAAUUUGAGGCCAAAGGAUGAGCGAUUUUUGGAUAGCCAUGGUCCAUGGCGGCCGCAAGGAAACCAUAAGCUGUGCCAAGAAUGGCAAAGAUGAGAACAAAAACGAUGACCAGGGCAAAGCAAGCCUCCAUAGACGCUGAGAAACAAUCCAUGAUUUCCCAACCAUAGCAACACUUCUGGCAGCUGGCCAUCCGUUCCGAAAAUUCUUAAUUUUUUUUAUAUGCCAGAAAAAUAUUCCAAAAAUGCUAUGAACUCGUUGCGAUAUUAUCUAUGAGACUGAUGAUAAAGUCCUAAAAUAAUUUGGAAUCAACUAAAUUUAAAAUUAAUGGUCCAGAGAUGAGUUAUAUGGAGAUGAUGUUUGAUUAAGUUACCAAACCAAAUUUGAGUUUAGUGAACUAAUUUUACUUAUUUAUUUUUUCAAAUGAAAUGUUUUAUUUAUUUAUUUUCAACAAUAGGUAUUAUCCAUUGAAGACAGACCCAUAUUUGAGAUGCAAAUUCUACUAAUGCAAAUCUUUCUCGACAGUUGAGUUGCUGCUUAUCGUCACUAAAAAAUGAAGAAAUAUUAAAAAAAUCAAGUGCGAAAAAUGCUCAAAUUUUACCAAUGAUUACGCAAUUAAUUACUAAACUCAUGUCAAAACACAAACUCAAAACAUCUUUAGCUUACAGUUUCUGCAAUCGCACAUCCAUCCACUGCAAUGUGUGGCUUACGGAUGCAAUACCAAACAUAUACUCGGAUUCGGAUUGUCUAAGUUCUUUAUCUUUUUAUGUGUUUGAGCUGGAAUGAAGUGCCACCAAAGAAGCAUAAGCCCCGUCAGUGAUCUUCAUUAGGAAAUCAUGGCUUCCCUUCUCCGCAAUCACGCCAUUCUUCACCACUGCAAUUAUGUCUGCUCCUUUUAUCGUGCUAAGGCGGUGCGCAACUACAACUGUUGUUCUGUUCACCAUAACCCUGUCCAAUGCGUCUUGCACUUUGCGUUCGGACUCUGCAUCCAGUGCACUUGUAGCUUCAUCAAGUAGAAGGAUUUUUGGGUCCUUGAGUAUAGCCCUCGCAAUGGCGAUUCUUUGCUUCUGACCUCCUGAUAGCUGAACCCCUCGUUCACCUACUGAGGCGUCGUAGCCUUGAGGCAAUGAAGAUAUGACAUUGUGCACGUUAGCUGCUGUUGUCGCUGCUAUGAUCUCUUCCUCGGUAACAUCUCCUGGCUUGCCGUAUGCAAUGUUGGCACGAAUGGAUUCGUUGAAGAGAACUGGUUCUUGACCAACCAACCCUAUCUGCUGCCUCAGCCAGUUUAGCUUGAACUUUUGGAUUUCUACUCCGUCUAGUAGUACGCGACCUGAAUCAGGAUCGUAAAAUCUCUCUAUGAGGCCUAUUACCGUUGACUUCCCGCUGCCACUCUCUCCAACCAAAGCAACAGUCUGCAGAUGGAAUUUUAAGCUAAGUAUGCAUAUAUAUAACACAAGGGAAAAUAUUUCCACACACCCUGUUUACUUUUUCCCCUUGAUUCUCCUUUGAUUUAUUAAAUUCAAAUGCCAAAACAGCGGUGUUGCAGAAACCAGUUCCCAUAACUCAAAUGCAAAUAAACAAAACAGACAGACUCACAACAAACUGGUGGUGGUAAUUACCUUUCCGGAGGGCAUCUUCAAACAAAUGUCUCUGAAUAUCUGCACAUCCGGGCGUGUAGGAUACUUAAAGCUGACAUGAUCAAGCUCAAUUUCUCCAAUUAAAAGUGAUAACGCUAUGCCUUCAUCACUGCUCGAGUCAAUCUUAGGCUUGCUGUCGAGAAUUCGAAAUAUCGAAGCUGCUGAGUCCUUGGCUUUGUUGGAGUCAGGAGCCAUGCUAGUAGCUUGUGAGACCCCCAUUGCAGUGAUUGUUAUAGCAAAGAAAACCUGAGAAAAAAAUGAUUUGUUAGAGUUAGAGUAGAAGCACUUUGUCGAAGAAGUUAAGGAGUAAUUUAAGGAACAAGAACAGCAAAAUCUCACCUUGAAUACUUGUUCAAAUGUAGCUUGACCAUGUUUCACAAGAAUAGCUCCAAUAUAGAAUAUCAACGCAUUUGUGCAGAACAUUAAGAAGAAUGAAAAGCCAAAACCUGAACCACUUACUACUCCUAACCGUACUCCUUGCUUCAACGGACCCUCACACUUCUUCUCGUAUGCCUCCAUCACCUUCUUCUCAGAACAAAAUGAUGCAACCGUUCGGAUGCUACCAAUCGCAUCGUUUGCCACUUGACUGGCUUCUUCGUACAUAAUCUGCAGAUAUUCAAAACGUUACAAUUACAUUCAACAAAUUUUUUAUUUGACAAAAUAAAAACUCUUAGGGCAAGACUCUCACCUUGGCAUCUGCACUAAAUCCUUUAAGAAAUUUUGCCUGAAGUGUUCCUUGCAGAAGAAUCAAUGGCGAAACGGCUAAAACUACCAGCAUCAGUUUCCAGUUAGCUGUGAAACCUAUAACCAGCCCUGCCAUGAUUGUUGCUAUAUUCUGCACAAUCAACGCCAAGGCGUCACCAACAAGACUCUUAAUGGUUGAAGCAUCCGUAGAUAACCUUGCGCCAAUGGCACCGCUGAAAGAACACAAGAUUUAUGUUGAAAUAUUGAGAGUUCAUAGCUCGCCAAAAUUACCAUUUCUUUUAACAUACCUUGAAUUUGCAGGAUCAUCAAACCAACUGACUUGCUGGUGCACAACCUUCUGGAAUGACAAGGCACGAAUUCGCUCCACCAAUUUCCCACCUGCAACUCCAAAGAAGAAAUUCUGCACAGGAACCACCAACAGACCAGCACAACCUAAACCUACAUAAACUAAUGCCCAUUUUCUAGAAUCGUGCCUUAGCUCAUUGGGCGGUUCGUAGAACAUUCCAAUGGCUUUUGAGAGUAGUAAGCCAAAGAUAGGGAAAAGUACUCCAUGCCCUGCUGCAGCAAUGGCUCCUAGAAGCAAAACUGGAACCUCGGGUUUGUUAAGGGCGGCCAGCCUUCGGAUUGAAACUGUGUUGCGCUUUUUGGAAUCAACCUUAGGUCUGUCAUGAUCGUCCUCGUGUCCUACUUCAUUCUCUUGGACAUCAAUUGGACCAGGAAUGCCAAAGCCAACAGUGAAUGAGUGCCGGCCACCUGAUGAGCCUCUGCUUAUAGACCUUCUCAUUGAUAAUCUCCGGCUCCCAGAGCUGAGCAUAGUCCUAUCUAUAUCUAAGCUGGUAUCCAUUCUAUUCGGAUCAGAGGUUUGUGCUCCGUUGUCCACUUUCGAUCCUUCUUGCAGGUGGAUUAGUUGGCUAUAAGCCCCUUCCGGAUCUCUGGUCAACUCAUCAUGAGUCCCUAUACUCAAUCCAAUGGAAACGUUAGUCUAAGGAUCAAGUUUGUCGAAAAUUGAGAAUGAUAGUGCAGGCACGCAUAUUGUAAUUACCUUUUUCCACAAUUUUUCCUCUGUGCACCACUGCAAUGCAGUCAGCAUUCCUAACAGUUGUUAAGCGAUGCGCAACAACUAUGGUUGUGCGAUUUGACAUCAAGUUCACCAGUGCAUCUUGAACAAUCUUUUCGGACUCAGCAUCCAGAGCGCUUGUUGCUUCAUCAAGAAGAAGAAUUCUCGGGUUCUUCAGAAUGGCUCUUGCAAUUGCAAUUCUCUGCUUUUGUCCACCAGAUAGAGAUGUCCCAUGCUCACCUACCAUUGUGUCGAUCCCCUGUAAAGUAAGCAGGAUUUCAUGUUACAGAUACCAAACUCCAAAAAAAAAGGUCAAAGUAGAACUUUAUAAGACUAUGAAAAACUGCAUAAAAAGUCGGUUUACCUGGGGUAGCUUAUCAAUGAAUUUUGCUGCAUUUGCGAGCUCAGUUGCUUUUCUAAUCUCCUCAUCAGUUGCAUCAUCCUUCCCAUAUUUUAUGUUCUCCCUUAUAGUUGUUGUAAAGAGAUUCGGUUCCUGACUAACCAGCCCGAUCUUCUCCCUUAUCGCUUUAAGCUGCAACUUCUUCAAGUCCACGCCAUCUAUAAGUACUUCACCGGCUUCUGGAUCAUAAAACCUUUCUACUAGCCCGAUCACUGUCGACUUCCCGCUUCCACUCUGCCCAACCAAGGCAGUGGUUGUGCCACUUGGAACAUAUAAUGAGAACUCAGCAAAGAUCUGCACGUCUGGUCUGGCAGGGUACCUGAAAUACACGUCUUUGAGUUCGACAUCACCUUUAACAUCUUGCAAUACAAUUCCACUUGUAUCGUAGGGAUCGAUAGUUGGAUUUCGGCUGAUGGUCUCAAACAUUUUAUAUGCAGCAGCCUUCCCUGAUGCGAAUGCAUUCAAAGACGGUGAUGCCUGACCAAGUGACCUAAUCGAACAAGCCACAAUCAAAAUGUAUCAGGAAGUGAAAAAUGUCAUCAUCUAAAUUCACGAAAACAUUUACGAAAGAUAUUUAAGCAUGCACAUUGAACAUGGUUCUAUACAAUGCACAAUAUAAUAUAUCAUGACAUUACUGAAUCAGGAACCGGUAUAUAUACUUACAUUCCACCAGUCAUGAGUGCAAAUAUAACAUUGAUAACUUGGCCUCCAUUAUAUCCAUGUUUGAUGAUCAUUUUGGAUCCAUACCAUACCGCAAGCGCGUAUGAGCAGAAGAUGACAAGCAUAAAUAUUCCGAGUCCAAUCCCUGUGACUAACCCUUGUUGAACCAUAGUAUUGUAAGCAACUUUUAGCUUCUGGUUGUACUGUUCAAUUGCUUGCUUCUCCCCAGUGAAAGAUGCAACCUGAAACACAUUUUUAUUUUUCACACAUUAAUUAAUUAAGAUAUAUAAUGUAAUUAGUUAUGAACUCUGAAAAGUUAAAUUAAAGAGGUUUAGCAUCAAGGCCUUACUGUUCUAAUGGAACCAACUGUUUGUUCUACUAUACUGCCAGCUUCUGCAUAAGCAGACUGUCCGCGGGACGACAUUCUCGACAUGAUAGUAGCCAUUACUGCCCCAGCAAUGACAAUGGCAGGAAUGGUGGCCAACAAUACAACAGUGAGCCGCCACCCCUUGACAAAAGCAAUCACAAACCCACCAAGAAAAGUAGAACAAAGUUGUAUAAACUUCCCCACCUGCCACAAAUUAACAAACCCUUCUAUAAAUACAUACAUAUAUGCAUGUCAAAGUGAAGACCAAAUGAAACCACAAGUAAGAAGACUUCUUCACAACAAACCCUUCAAAUUAAACUCCCUUUCAUUGUCAGAAAUACUUAAAGCACUAAUUUGAACCGAAAAAUAAACCUGCGGACUCAACUAUUACCAUGCCAUUGCACUACAAAUGACGGGUUUUCCUCAAAAGUUUGGAGUUUUAAGUGUUUUUCCCUAACAUUAUAAGGUGUCGACAGGGACCAAACUAAUUAAAUUAUAAAUAACAAAAGACUAUUAAAAAAAAAAAAAAAGGCCCUCAAAACUUCAUUCUGUAGUAAAUUAUGCUGCUAACAUUUUUCAGUUAGAUUACAUUGCCUUGAGACGUUGUGACGUAUAUGUUGGAUUUUAGUAUUUUAGGGGUUGUUCUGUUUGAUUUCUUGAUUUGAAAAUGUUGAGGAAGAAGGAAUGAACGAGCUGAUUGAGCAUCAACCUAAGCCACACACACUAUAAGGUUGUGGCUUAUGUUUAAGGUUAUGUAUUUUUGUGUAAAGGUUGCUGCUCAAAUCAUUGGAGAGCUCAGUGUAAAACAUUCUCUUACAUCAUUGCCACUAGAUCCAAUCUAAGCCACACGCUAGGGGUGCAAUUUGGGUUGGGCUAAUCUGAAGCCGCCCAUGUCCAACUCGACUUUAAACCCGAACAAGUGGGUUUUUUUUUUAGUUAUAAUCUGCCUUAACCCAACCCAAUUUCGACUCUUUCAUUGAUUAGGUUGAGUUGGGUUGAUCAUUUGCCAAUCCAACCCAAUCCAACCCAACCCAACUCGACUAACCAAAUUGUAGCCCGUAUCAAUUAAUGCUUAUACUGCACCCAAGUGAUCCCAGUCCAAAAACCAACGCCCUUUCUAAUAUUUUUUUAAUAAAUUACCCUUUAUAAUUACUUAAGCUUUUAGGGAAUAAGCGGAUUUGAUUACUCACCCCGUAUUCGUAGUCUCUGAAUCCUAAAACUUUAUAGUAGAUUGAUUUAUGAAAUUAAAAUUAGCUAGCUUUGAUGCUACUUGGCUUAAUUUUUUUUAGAAAUUCUUGGAAACUAAGAUAUUACAAGAUUAAACUUGAAAAAGUUAGGUAACCCGAACUCAACCCAAGUAAACCCUAACCGAAUUAAACCCCAGCUCAAAUGAACCUGAAUGGAGCCCAACCCGAACCCGAACCCGAACCUAAAUUGUAAAAGUUUGGUUAAGAUUAGGUUGCGCCCUUCCAACCUGCCCCAGUUGCACCCCUACCACGCACAUUAUAAUCUAUAAGGACAUGGCACUUGACUAAAUCUAAGACAUAUAACUGAUACAUAGAUGGGUUGAAUCUAGACCUUAUGCUUGUUCUAAUGGCUUAAGUAGACCAUUGUAACUUGAAUCAAACAAUCAGAACCAAUUUACAUUCCAACAGUACAAAUCAGACAAAGAAAAAAACAAAGCUGCAGCAACUUGCGCAUGGAAGUUGCAGCUUGCGGCACAAUCUCAGGCGCAAUUUAUGCAUUUUGUCAGACUGUUGGAGAACAAAUUUAAGGACCUUUUUGACCCACUGUCUUCAAUUAAAAGUUAAAAAUUAAUUAGGUGACUAUAAACGAUUAAGUAUAUUAAUUAGCAGUUAAGCAAAAAAACAAAGUUAAUUACCAUUUCCCCCAUGGCUUCUUGAAUAAGAAUGGUGUCCCCAGACAUCCUGCCAAUGAUCUCUCCAGUGCUAGUUUCAGUGUCAAAGAAGCCAAUGUCCUGCCUUAGGAUUGCCUUCAUGUACUUGCCUCUAAUUCUAGCAGCCUGCCUUUCUCCUGUUACCAUCCAACAUGCCACCUCUGCAAAUUCACACAAACAAUUUAAUCAACCUACUGGUGUAAUUAAACAAAGAUUCCCAAUUAACAAAUUUAGAAUUAUUGAGACUUACGUAGAAGUGCUGCAGCUCCAGUGCCAAUGGCCAAGUACACAAACUUUAGAGACACCUGCAACAAAAAACAAAAUUUGAGAAAAAAAUGACUUGGAAAGAAGUACGUGCAUGAGACGUAACCUAGAAAAAGUGGUUUUGUUUGAUGCCGUAUUCACAGUUUUUGGUCGCCAUGAUUUUUGGCUUAAUGUGAUUGAAAGAAAUAUAUAUUUUUCUUUUUAUGGUAGAAAAAGAAAGAAAAAAAAAAGAUAGAUAGAAGAAUAGGGCCCUUUUGAACUUUCAAGAAACGCAAAGAAAGCCGUACACUCUUUGAGUUCUAAUGAUUUUCAGUGUUUUGAGAAAUAAAUAUAAUUUUUUCCCAAAAAAAAGAUAAAAUGAUAUAUAACCUUUACCAAAAAAAAAAAGAAAGAAAUAAACCUGCAUUUCUGUUCCAAUCAAAUAAGAAAAGAAGAAAAAAAACCACCAAGAAUCCUAAUGUUCUUGUAAUCAAGAAUACGAAUGCAUGUACGUAUAUAAAUGUAUAUAUGUACCCGCCACUCAGUACUACGAUCUGAUGAUAUUUCUCUUCACUUGAAAGUGUGAGAUCUUAGUUCGAAUCUCGUGUAUGACGAAUUCGAUACUAAAUUAAGCUGCCCGUUGUGUGGCUUAAUCGAACUCUUUCUCCCCUUAGUGUAAAAAUAUCGAUGUAUUAAAAAUAAAUGUAUAUGUACCUUAGAUAUCAUGGGAACGAUGUGACCAGGAUCGGUGCAACCAAAGGUGUUAAUAAGAUUACCAAACACAAGAGUCAUGAGCGGCUUCGACAGUCCAUUCCCCACCGCAGAUAUCGUUCCAACGAUCAUCAACGCAACGUCCAAACGGUCUGCAAACGAGAAGAGCUUAUAGAAGGCGACUUUCUGCUUUUUUUUAUCUGCUUUCUCUUGUGACCCAUUAUUAUUAUUAACUUCUGCGUUGCCUUCCCCUCCUCCUCUUCCUCCUUCCAUGGUGGUUGCCCUAAUUCGAAGAAGACGAUUUCUCUCUCUCUCGGGCUCUCUCUGGAGCAGAUGACCGCUCUCCUUUGUUGUUAUUUGAUGAGGAGCAUUGUGCAGGAGGACAAGUGAGAUAUCAACUUUUUUGUGUGCCCGAUGUGCUUUAUGGUGUGGUGUUGUGAGAUGGAAAAGGAAAAAAGAGUGUAAAACUAGGACAACUUGAUUAGGCCAUCUCUAACCGAACGAGGGUCAGAAGGUUCGUUUUAGCCAUCUAGUUCUUCAAGAAAUUAAUAUUUUAAUAAAUAGUGUACAACCAUAGUGCUUACAAUUUCCAACAAAUGACCAAAGGGCCAUAAGGCCAAACAUAGUCACGUGACAAAAAAUAAUCUCCAAUCGAGGGCCAAACAUAAUUUAUUAUUUAAAUUUAAAAACUACAAUAACUUAAAUUUAAAAACUACAACAUAUAUAUUUCAAGUCAAAUGUAAGAGAUUUUAUUUAGAGUAUAAAAAAAAGAAAAAGAAAAAAGGAAGUGAAGAAAUGAACUUUGGAAACAUACCUAUAAUAGUGGGUGGGAGACUCCCACAUCGGCCAUGGGAGAGAUUUGAGCAACCAAACAUGCCUAUAAAAGAAACACCCCAACAUUGAACUAACCAUACCUUUGGCCUAUAAUUAAAUAUUUUAUAAAAAAAAUUGGCCUAAAAAAAAAUUCAAAUCAUGGUAAAUGAUGUCAGUUAGCUGCUGGUUUCAAAUUUAUGGUCCGGUUCGGGGCUAAUUGGCUGGCUCCUUUGGGCCAGCCGGUUGGCCCUUUGGCUCUUUUUUAUCCUGUGGGGCUCACGAGCCCUUUGGCUUAGCACUCAGUUGGAGAUGGUUUUCAGACUAUUUUCGACUCUCUGGAUCAUUCGGUUGGAAAUGACCUUAGUUAAGGGGACUUGGAUUGUCUGCCCUCCCAUUUAGGUGCCCUUUCCGUGCCCUCCUAUUUUGUGUGGUCACGGUUAUACCACGUCAAUAUUUUAUAUUAUUUUUUUAUAAAAAUAAUAAAACAAAAAGAAAUAGUAAUAUAAAAUGUUGACAUGGCUUAACCGUGACCACAAAAACAGGAGGGCACGAGGAGGGCACAGAAAUUGGAGGGCAGACAAUCCAAGUCCUAGUUAAGGAGGGUUUGGUGUCUAGAUGCAACAUAUACAUCAGAGUCCUACUAAUCAGCUGCUGCGUAGAUUUUACCGUUUCCUCACAUUACGACUCCUUUCUCUCCUUUCCUCUCUCUAUUUAAUAUAAUUUAAUUUUUUUUUGUCAAAUAGUUUAAUUUUAAUUCAAUUUAACAAUAAUUAUUAUUGUUAGCAAAAAAAAAAGUCAAUUAUUAUUACGGUCUAGUGAUAUUUCUCUUUACUUGUAAGUGAGAGGUCUUAAAUUCGAUUAUCACCAAAGGCGAAGUUGAACCACAUAAUUAUGACAGACUCAUUGUAAGACUUAGCCCACUCCCCCCAUCCUAUUAGUAUGGAAACUAUCGUUUGUUCAAAUUUUUUUUUUUUUUUUUGUAUAUUUUUCUUGACAAAUAAUAACGUUAGUGGAUUAAAUAGUUAAAUGUUAAGAUAAAGGAAAUCGAAUAUGCUGGAUGGUGCAUACCAAUUAUUUUUGUAUAAUAUAUAUAUAAAGCCAACAAGUCUAAUGAAUAUUGUUUUUUGGUGUCACAAGCUUCACCAAAAAUAAUUAGACAAAAUGCCCCUCAAACAAAAAACUUCAAAAGCAACCCAAAAUAAUGCAUCAAAUGUGGUAGGCGUAUUUUUAUCAUUUUAACAAUGUUUUUUUAAUAAUUAAAUUUUUUUGUACAAUUUUUUUUUUUAAAUUAGUACCUCACAAUAGGCUAGUAAUAAUGUGAUUCUAUCAAUUAUUUUUUAAAUUUUAUUUUCUCUGUUUUUAAACAAGUUCAAAACAUCUUGAUAGACGUGUAAUAUCAGUUAUAAAAGAGGUCAUUCACACGUGCAUAAUAAUGUGAUUAAAUUAGUUGUCAAAUGUUUUUUUUUUUGAACAAAUGAUAUUAUCUAUCUUAAGGGGUUUCUUCUAAUAUGAUCUAAGAUUAUUCAUUUACUUCCAAUAUUUGACUUUCCUUUUUUCUAUUCACUAAUAUAAAUACAUUUAAAACGUAUAAGUCAUGUAUAGCACGCUGUGAUUCACAAAAUGCCUUCUACACGCGCGUGCAUGAAGGCUGAUUUUUGUAUUAUAUAAAAAGGAUUGUUAGCAAACUCUUCGAAUUCACUAAAUUUAAACAAAAAAAAAAACUAAUUCAAAAUCAGAUUUUUGAGGAAAAGAAAAAACGACUUUGGCUAUUGGAUUCCGUUUGAAUGAGCUUCAAACUGUUAGGAUUUGUGAUUGAAAAAAUAAAAAAAGGCAGGAAGAAAGGGACAUAGUGUAUGGAAAAGAAACAGAAAAGGAUCUGGCUUUCAUAUGUUGCCAGAUAAUGAGAAAUCUGCAUCAUUAAUUAUGUGGAUUCUUCACAACAUAGAAACUGUCAAAGGGAGACUCAAGACCAUUUGGAUUAGUAGUAACAAAAUUAAAAACAACAUAAUAGUUAGCAAGUUUUCGUAUUACAAAUAUUUGUAAAUAUGAUAUUGAGAAGAGGAAAUCGAACUAAGACUCUAGGAUGCAAUUUUUUUGUUUUAUAAUAGGAAGAAUAAUCAUUUCAUUACUAGGAAAACAAUUAUAAUGAACAAAGAAACAUGAGUGAUUCUUCUUCAACGAUGUAAUGAAGAAAUCAAAGUGAGUGGUUCUUCUUCAAUCGAAGCAUUGAAGCAGCAACCUGAGCUACAAGCUUCUAAUUAGCAAGUUGGUGUCUCGAUACUAUAUUUGUAAAAGCAGUUGAUACCUGUAUAUAGUUUUAGACAUAUUAAAUAGGAACUUAGGAAGGAAAGUAAAUCACAUACGUAAUUAUGAUUUUUAAUUGGUACUAGACUACGUGAAUCUCACUAAUUCUGUCACCAUAUCUUAUCCGAACAAUGUAGCUAUAAUCAAAAUACUGUAUGGAACCAAAAAAAAAAAAAAAUCAAAAUAUAUUGUAAGGCUGUAACGUUGUCUUCAACACACACCAUUUGCUUAAUCCGCAUUGGGUGAUUACUUCCUAACAGAUGUAGUAGUGACUCUGCUUGGUUAAUUCGGAUUGGGGGGGGUCACUACCUACUUGGUUACUUUCUCAAUGGUGGCUCUACUUGGUUAAUCCGCUUUGGGAGACUACUUCCUGUUUGGUUACUUAUGUAGGUUUCGGCCAAACUGCUUCCCUCUAGCCCUAGUUUUAAUGUAUAUAUGAACGAUGGUGUUUGGGAAUCUUGGUGGUUUGAAUGGGAAAAGCCGUUGGAUGUCUAGGUGAUUCCUUCGGAUUUUUUAGUGACUUGAUUAUGAUUUCAUAAAGCAUGAUUUUUAUACUCGAUGUUUAUAGAUUGUGAUCGAUGGUCUAUUUUUAUUGAAUAUCACAUACUUGUAUUACUGUCACUCACCCGAGCUUCGCAGCUUAACCGAAUUCUGAUCUGCUAGUGCACCAUUCCCUUGAUGUAGGCACUGAAUAUGACAGGUCAUUGUAAAGUACGAGAAGCAGCUUGGUAUUUUAGUUCUGUUGAGUGGUCCGAAACCCAAGACUGUUGGAUUCCGUUAAGUGGUCCAGAUUCCUUGCUCUUGCUCAUUGCCAUAAGGUUAGUCUAGAAUCUUAGAUUUGAAUGAAUGAGAAUUACCCACAAUAGACCUUGUGAAUAUAAAUUAGAAUUAUCAGGUUAUUACUUGGAAUCCAGGUAGGGAAUUAUGUAGAAUUCCUUUAUUUAAUUUCGUGCACUGAUAUGUGAUCUGGUUGACUGAUUAACGUAAUUAAAUGUUAAUAUCGUGUCUCCAUGACUCAUGGAAUGGGUUACUUGAAGUGAUUGUGGAAUGAUGUUGAAUAUGAUUGUUAUUAAUAUGAUUAGAUAAGUGAUCAAUACGACUAGAUGAUACUAUUGUGCUUUGCUGAUUCUUUGAUAUAUCAUAUGAUAUGAAUUGUGAUUUUAUGUUGAAAGAUAAUGAUUUAUAUGAUGGAUGAAAUAGAAACCUUGAUUGUCAUGUGGGUUGUUAUGUAGCUUGAAUCGAAUAAUUUCAUGUUUGUCAAGUCCAAAUGUUUGAUCGAGGAAUGUUAUGCCUUUUGGCUUGAACAGACUGUGUUAUAUGUCGAGUUGUAGCGAAGAUGAACUACGAAUGGCUUGAUCCCUGUGUAGGGUACAUAGGCAUUCUAACGAGAAAGUUAGAUGCAGCCAUAAAUUGUACAAAAUUUACUACGCAAUUUGAGGCAUGACAUGUGCUUGGUACAUAUCUCGAAGACGGGUAUGUUAGAUAUAUGGUUAUUUGAUGACAUCACGUGUCAAUCCUGGACGUACGUCGGGAUCGGGGCAUGACAUGUAGUGUGCUCCCAAGCCCAACUCUUCGAACCAGGCCCUUUGGGCCUUACCAGCUAGGGCCUUUGGCCCAUUAAACAUCAAACCUAACCCUUUAAAGCUUAACCCAAAAUCCUUUCGAAAUUAGGCCUUUGGGUCUACAACCUUGGCCCAACCCAGCAGCUCAUUUAGACCCAAGCCUGGUUACCAACCCAGCCCAGAUCCGGUUGGAACCUUCCAAGAAUAUUCCUAGAACAUUCCAAGGAAUAUUCCGAUGAAUAUUCCUAGAAUAUUCUCUUGUUGUUAUGAAAUUUACCUGGAACUCUUCUUAAGGUAAUUCGACGUCCUGAAUCCAUUUUUGACGUUCGUUUUUCCAAAUUAAAUCGUUUGAGUAUAGUUUUAUUAAUUAGAUCCUUUAUGUGUUUUGGGGCAAUUGUUUACGGCGAUUUUGUCUUCGCUAGUUUGCAUGGCUCUUCGAUAACAAAGUAUCUAUGAGUGGACCCUUUCUAAAAUACAUGUUUUAAUAGUAGAAAUGCAUACAUGAAAAGCAUGAUUUACUGAAUACAUUUGUGAACGUUUUAUGAGAAAUUGAUUAUCAUGCUAUACUAAGCUUAUUUUGGAAUACCAUAUUUUCUAUCGAACCCAUGUUCUUUGUAGGAUAUUUGAUGGAUGACGAUAUACUAUUUAGAACAGGUUUUCACACACUUCUUUAUAGUAUAGAUGAUGGAUGACUUUAUACUAUGAAGAUACUUUUGUAAUAUAUAUACCUAUGUUUGGAAAGACUAUGUUCAACGGUUUUGUGCGUAUCUAGUGGUCACUAUAUAUAUGCCUUCAGGUGGGUGCUGUAGGAGCCUUUAAGCAAUUGAUACUAUAUAUGUCUUUGGGUGGGUGUUAUAGGAGCCUGCAAGCGAUUGAUAUUUGUGAAGAAAGUGUUCUGAAGGAAGAGUUCUAUGUUCUGCUUUCUGGCGAUUAUGAUACCAAUAGUUAGCACACUAUAUACGAUAUAUGGUUUAUGACAUAUUUUAUGGCAUGCUAGAGUUUUCGGAAAAGCUACCACUUACUAUGUUGAUAACUGUUUUAUUAUAUAUAUAUAUAUAUAUAUCAACUUGAUCUACUUAUGUUUGUUUUGCGUCCCCUUAUGAUUUAAAUUCGAGGCGUACGAUCCCAACAUCAAGGCACUUCCACAUCGGCUUCUUCGAGUCAUAUUGGUGUGGAACGCAUUCUUUUAUUCAUUCAAUUUAUAUUCUUUCUUUUAGUGUUCUAGAUUAGUAUAUGCUCUAAAUGCGUUCCUUAAAUGCAUAUUCAUUAUAUUUAAAUUUAUAAGUCCUAUUUAUUUCUUGUUAUCAACAUUUACAUUCAAUAAAUGGCUUUCAUCACCCUCGGGUGUCGACCAGCACGUGACAAUCCCGAUGCCCCACGGACAUCGCGAUCGGGGCGUGUCAGCUUAACCAGGUGCCUAGAUCGCCCUUGCCGAUUCACUGAACAUUUUUGAAAUAAUCGUGGCGGCGACCCGACGCCCAACACUUAGGCGGCCGGCCAAACCACAUUUUAGAACAUUGUGUUUACCUGAGUUAAGGGGCUAAAAUUAGUUUUUAUUAAUCUUACACAAAUCAAGGACUAGGAUGAUUUUUUCUAUUCAUAAAUAGUACCUAACCAAAACUGACUGCACGAUAUAUAAUGAACGGUCACGAUCACAUAAUCCUUAGGAUCCCUAGGAAAAAGGAUUCUCGCAGGAUCCUUUUCCUCAUUUUAGAUACAAUAUACCUUCACUUUUUAUUCAAAUGAAUACUACUACCGUUUCCUUUAUAGAUUAAAAAAAAAAUGAUCCGACAUUAGAGGAUUUCUUUGGUGCCGCAAAUAGUGUUAUUUCUUGACUUAGAACAAACAAACAAAACUCUAUAUUUCGGAGAGUGAUUCACUGAUUCAGAUGUUGCGUGCCCUUACCCCUAAGUUUAGAGUUAAUUAGAUUUAAACGCUCAAAAUUUAAAUUUCUUUUAUUAAACAUCCAUGCCUUUUAGAAUUUUGAUCAAGGUGCUUUGGUACAUUAGACCACAUCAGUAUUUCUUAUUUUUUUAAAUUAAAAUUUUACAUAUUGAUUUCUAAAUUUGUCCUUUUAAUUAGUUGAGAGAAUUUUUUUUUAUCUGGCCAUUUUUUUAUUCAUGUAUUUUAGGAGUUGUGGACUCUUUUUUAGGAGAUAAUUUUGGUUUUUUCGCUCAACAUAUUUAUCCAAUUAUCUCUUUUAAUUUUUGUUUUCGUUCAAAACAUUUUUUUAUCCUAAAAUUGAAAAAAAUAAUUGAAAUGAUAGACGCUUAGAUUUUUUUUGUUUGUUUAUUAUUUAGUAGACUUUUUGUUAGAUAAUUAUACAUUUGAAUUUGUACAUAUUGUUGAUUAGUGAUAAUGGUAUGUUUAUUGUUGGUUAUCAUAUUGGUUUUGUAUUGAUUGGUACGUUUAUUUUAAACUUUUGAAUGUACAUAUCGUUGAUUGGUACAUUUUGUUUUAGCUGUUGGUACAUUUAGUUUUAGCUUCCAGUACGUUUAGUUUGUUCUCGUUGAUUGAUAGGUUUUUUUUUCACGAUUUUGUUACAAUUGUUUUUGUACCAUUUAGUAUCAUAUGGGUACGAUUAAUAUUAUACAUAUCGUUGAUUGGUACAUUUACUUUUGUUCUUCAACGUUGUUUACUAUAGUAUGUUUAUUUCCACUUUUAGUAGGUUUGUUUUUUGAUAAGAAAUAAAAUGCUCAACAUAUACGGCUCAAAUUGGCAAUCUAAUGAUAUCAUUUUUCUUUAGGAAACAUGCUUAUUUGGGCCAUGGUGAUAAACCUAAUGCCUCUAUCAUUUUCAAGUUCAUGCAAUUAAAUGACAAACCUUUCGAAAGAUCGUUACGCAAGUUCUAGAGAUGUAAUUCACAUAAGUUCAUCACACAUGAAAGAAUAUGAGUGUAUGAAAAAUGCACACACUUUCAAUAGGCUCAAAAACUCACAUAGGUUGUAUAUGGUCACUAUAUUCACAUGCGAAGUUUUAAGUCAUACUUUAGUUUCACAUCAAUAAGGCUAUGUGCAUUUGGUUUUUCAAAGAUGAUUAAACAUGUACAAGGCUAACAAGAGAAUAAGGACUUUCACACAACACAUGCUUACUAAGUUCUUGAUCACCGUGGUUCAAAUUCAAUCCAAUUAUAUCAUUGGGUCAGGAAACUAACAAAAUCUACUUCAAAACAAUAAAGAAAAUAAGACUAUUUUUUUGGAUUUCAAAUUUUCUGAAUGUUUUUUAUUUUUUGGUUUUUUAAAGUAAACAAAAUUAAUUAAGAAAACAAAAAGAAACAACACGGAAACAAAUCAAACCAGUUCUUAGUCGAAGGUACGAAAAUUUUCAAUUUGGUCAUUUUUUCAAUCCUUACCCCCAAACCUAAACUGGACAUUGUCCCCAAUGUCAAAAAAACAAAUUAAUGCAUAAAAUAAAAAUAAAAUAAAAUAGUAAGAAACAAAAUAAAGCAUUUGGAUUGAAAACUUCCCCAAUUUCCAUUUAAAUCAAGCGAUGACCCCCAAACUCCAAUUUUACAAUCAACUUCAAGGGUGGACAUGAUCAAACUUUCCUACAAAGAAAAGAAAUAAUUCAGCUUAGCACGCAAGAAAAUUCAGAAAAAGCAAACUAAAAAUUGAAAAUGACAUAAAAAGACAAUGAAUAGAAAUAUUGGGUUGCCUGCCAAUAAGCGCUUGCUUUUAUGUCCGCAGUCGGACAGUACCAAGAGUAAUCAUCCAAGGGGAGAUGGUUCUUGGAUCUUCGAGUAUACAUAUACUACGAAGAGUACCUGACACAAAAACAAAAACAAAAACACUAAUUAGACAAGAAAAUAAAACAAUAGAGAAAUAAGUAAUUAGAAAUAACAAUCCCCGGCGACACAGCGCCAAAAAUUUGAUAGGAUUAAAAGCACACAACAAAGUAGCACACAAAUGUCCUAUUGAUUUUCCUUAUUAAAGCUAAGAUUUGUCAAUUGUAGCAUAUGAAAAUAAGGGUCUUUCCUGCAGAAGAUUGUUUUAUCUAACUACCUAAAAUGUCACAAAAACUGGGUUGCUGUCCCUACUGACCAGCCACCGAAAAAUAAUUAUUAGACUGACUUAUACAUAUCUAAAGUCUACGAAAUUUUAUGUAGAUACUAGACACACAAAGGUACACUCACACAAAUAUUUGGGAUUUUUGGAGUUGAUUUGCUAUUUAAAUUAAAUCAAACAAAAAAAGGAUAGAAACAAAUUUUAAGUAGUUCACAAAUUAAGAAAAACGAGUUAGGGGUAUUGCUAUCCACCACCAAAUAAUCAUGCAAACAUGUUAUAUUUCAUUCAAAUUCCUUUUAUUUCCGGAUGAAGAUGCUCAAGUUGGCUCAAUGUUAGAACUCAACCUAUUACUCUUUCUUACGUAGUAUGUUAAGAGAAUGGCGUUUUCAACUUAACUUAGUCCCUAGCAUGCAAUCUAGAAUGACGUGUUCAUAGAUUUAACAAGUAGAAAUCAUUAAGAACGAAAAGAGUUUGAGUCAUCACAAGGCAUCGUAAGUACUGGCGUUGUCUUACUUAUCCUAGAAAUUGGUUCACAUGUUAAUCGCAAUUAACAAGUACUACUCUAGAAUAUAUGUAGGUCCUCAUUCGACAAGGGCAAGCACACACAUAUUCAUAGCAUUAGAAUCCUAGAUAUGCUUACUACGUAUGCAUCCAUAGAAAACAAAUAAAGAAUUCAUCAAUGAGACAAGUAGUGAACCAAUUUUCAUCCAUUCAUAAAAGUAAUUCAAACGAAAUGUCAUAACAAAAUUGCAAUCAUAUUCGGGGCUUCAAAACAGCCCCUAACUACUAAAAAUUUAGUUACACACAAUCCUUAAGUUAAAACAAAAGAUAGACAUGAGUUUGAGAAGAUAGAACCGAAAGAAAUCGACCGAGGCCUCCUCCCCCUUCCUUCCUUCCCCAAUGCUGCUUUUAAACCCAUUCUUGCUGCAUCAUUUUCUUCUCCUUAACUCACCCACUAAUAGCCAUUUAGUGAUGACAAUAAGUGAGAGGAAAUGUGGUAAAACAAUUGUAACACUUUAGGUAGCCUUUAUGCCAAUUACUCCCUCUUAAUCCUCAUUUUUAAUUUCAUUUCCUCUGAUAUUUGAAUAGGUGUCAGCUGACUUGUUCUUGGCUGCAUCAGUUUCAGCUGCUAGAUUUAUAUUACUUUCAGAGCAGUUACAAACUGCUCAGCCUCUUGGUAACCUUUCAGUGUUUAAACAGCCAUAACUUCUUCUAGGAAAAUGAUAUUAAUAAUCCUCAAAAUGCUCUAGAAAAUAGACAUCCGUAACUUUCCAAGCAUAUAAGGCUCAUUCUCUAAUUCAUUCUGAGCUAUUCGCAACUUGCUUCCAAAGUCAACUGAUCUGCACAUGCAGUUUUGACGAAUUUGUUACUAAAAAUCCUACUUGUGCUAUUUUUCUUUUAUUUGCUUGACAAAUCCCACAAAACACAAAAUCAAAGUAAAUAACUCAAAAAUAUAAGGAACUAACUAAGAAAAGACAAGUGAAUUUGAUGUAAAAUAUAUAUAAAUAUGAGCUUAUCAUUUUCAAACAUAUAUUUUUUAUUGGUACGUUUGUAUUAUUCUCGAUGUUAUUUUCUUAUAUGAAUUACUACAAAAAUUUAUAUAUGGAUUACUACAAAUAUCUUAAAUGGUAUUUUAUUUCUUCAUUGAAAGGGAAAAAAAAUCAAACGACAGGGUAUUUUAUUCCUUAAUAAAUUGUAGAUAAUCAAUUUUUUUUUGUAUAAUUAUCUUUAGAGGGAAUCAAAGGAGUUAGAUUGUAGGAAAUUUGUUUCAAUAUCUCUGCAUUUUUUUUUCCUGACGUGAAGAAUUUAGGCAGUGGUAAGAUCUGUAAUUUUGGUACAAAUAAAAGAUGGUUAUGAUAGAUGAGACUCCAAAUUUGUAGGAAAAAUGUUUAAUUAAAUCUCUAAAUUUAAUCCAACAAACAAUGUCAUUUUGUCAAACACUUGUCUCGGGUAACUAUCAAUUGGCACUUAUAUCUCUUGACAAUCUUUUCUGAACUUGGCGGCAGCAAUCGCACUUUAGAUCAGAGGAUGAUUCUCUUCCUUCAUAUUCUCAUCCUCUUCCCUUCCCUUUUCUUACAUAUUAUUUUUUGUCUUAUUGUUUUUAUAAAAAAAAUUAAUAUAAAAUGUUAACGUGGUUAAAUCGUGAUCGUUCAAAUAGGAGGAGAGGGAAGGAGAGAGGAUCCUCCUUCUCCCUUCUUGACAAUCUUUUGAACUUGGCGGCAGCUAAGUACAUAUCAAAUCAAUGGCACUUAUUUUUAUUGACAAUCUUUUCUGAACUUGGCGGCAGCAAUCGCAUUUUAGAUCUUCUUGACAAUCUUUUUAGAACUUGGCGGCAGCAAUCGACACCUCCAAUCAAUUGCACCGACCCAUUGAAUAUGAGGGUUGUCCACUUUGAGGAUGAGGAGGCAUGACCAUUACUGAUUUGCCAUCUUAUCUAGACUCUAGGGUUCCAACUGGCCAAGCACACAUUAUAGGAAAACCAGAUCUAAAACCUAGAAUUAAACUGCUACCAAUGAGGCCAACAGUGACUGCUUUUACAGCAUGUUUAAUUUACUGAAUUAAUAUAAGAUAUGAGUAUUAUUCUCAUUUCUGGAGAUGAGAAUGUAAGAUAUGCACUUCAUUCUCAAGUGACAAUUUAGAUGUGUAUCAUUUCCACAUUCUCCCAUAUCAUUAGUAAACGUGUGUCAAUAAGAGUAUAUUUAUUUAAAGAGUAAAUUGUAGCAACAGUUCCUCAACUUUAACCAAAUUAGAGUAAUGAUCCAUCAACUAAAAAUUCAUUAUCAAUGAUCCUUCAACUCAUCAAAAUGUGUAGCAAUAGUCUUUUUCAUCAAUUUUGUCAAAAUGAGUUAUGUUGAAAUGACCAUUGCUACAAUUGGGGUCCUUCAACUCAUUAAAACGUGUAGAUAUGGUAUUUUUCGUCAACUUCGUUAGAAUUUUAUCAAAAUGAGUUAUGUUGAAAGAAUCGUUGCUACAAUUGGGUUAAAAUUGAGGGACCAAUGGUAAUAGAUUUUUAGUUGAUGGAUCAUAACUGCAUGUUUUGAUGAGUUGAGGGACCAAUAGUAAUGAAUUUUUAAUUGAGGGAUCAUUUCUCCAAUUGAGUUAAAGUUAAGAGAUCAUUGCUACAAUUUACUCUUAUUUAUUAUAUAUUAGAAUGACAAUGAAUGAGUAGAGUUUUUAUCAUUUAUAGCCAAAAUUUAGUCUCUACUUUCAAAAUUAUCAAUUUUUAUACUAUCUUUCACAUAUAGCAAAAGCCAGCUUGACCAGACCUAGAUACCCUUAUAAUAAAACCAAUUUACAAAAGCUAAAACCUGUUUGAUCUUCUGCGUUUGUUCAAAGAUGGAGACUAGAGUUAAACAAAAUCAAAAUAGACAGAGACUGCAGAGGCUCCGCCUUUACAAGUUCUGCCGGUAAAUACUUGAGUUAAUUGGAUAGCAAUUAAAAGAGGAUUAACGUCUAUAAUUUUAUCGGUUCCAUAUAAUUAUUUUUUUUGGCUCCAUACAGUUAUGAGUUCGUAUAUAUUGGCGUCAGUUUCUUGCAAUUAGGUUUUAACUUUUAAGGUAUACUAUGUCUUUUUUUAAUUAAAAUUCGUCUUUUCAAUUUGAUUGGUAUAUUUCAGCUUGUUUCCUUAGUUUUAUGUUCUAAUUUCUUUUCUUUUAUUGCUAUUUCGUUAUUGAAUUUCAAUUUUUGGUGAGGGAAUCAUAGUGGUUGUUUGGCCUUAGGAUCUACAGUAUAAUAAAGUAUUAUUAUUUUGUAAAAUUGUUUAACCCAAAAGGAUGGAAGUUCCCAUCAGGCUACCUACAAAUUAGGAAGAAACCGAAUUAGGUUUUGUUGUGUAUGUUUAAAGUUGUUGGAAGACUUGGUUUAUUGGACGAAGGAAGAAGAUGAAGAAGGGAUGGCGAGGUAGCAUUCCAAUAACACGAGUUUUAAUUUUACGGGUAUUUAGGUAAAUUCAAUCAGAUUUUUGGCUAUAUUUGAAAGAAUUUGUAAAAACUGACAUUUGUGAAUUUAGACGGUAAAUUUUGGUUAGAAUUGAUAAAUACGAGUACGAAUUCUAAUCCUGCGUUUACCAACACUUAGAGAACGCAUUAAGGAUAAAUUAGGUUCUCAUUCCUCAUUUUCUUUUCUCAUUAAUUAAAACUUUUUUUUUAUCAAGGUCCUUUCACUGUUAUCCACAUCAUUAUUUGCAUAUUAAAUUAAUUAAUGUCAUUAUAUGUCAAUUUUAAAAAUGAAAAAAAAUUAUUAACCUUUUCCAAAUAUAUCUUUUUAUUAUUUUUCAUAUAUUUCUAUUUUUAAUUUGUACCCGUUUUUUAAAUUUGUAUCAAAAUUCUUCUUAGUUUUUAAUUUUCACCCAUAAUUUUAAAUUCUAUAAAUGUACCCAUAAUUUUAAAUUUAUAAUUUGUACCCAUAAUUUUAAAUUUUACUGUGUACCCAUAUUUUUUUAAUUCAAUUUGUACUCAUAUUAUUUUUUUCUGAAUGUACCCAUCCCAAUUACAUUUAUUUGUUUUAUGUUUUAAAAUAUAUCUAUAGUUAUUUCUUAAAAUAUAUUAAUUAUUACGUGGGUGCAUUAUUUUUUUUACUAUAACUAUAUGAAGAACAAUAUUAUUAUAUUAUUGAUUUUUAAAUAACUGUUAUCUUGUAAAAAUAUUAUUUGAAUUUGUUUAAAUUUCAUAACGAGAUAUAAAUGCACAAAUGCAGGAGUUAAAUUUCUUAGAUGAUUUUAGGGACAUCAAUUAAAUGAUUUAAACAAAUAAAGUUUCAUUCUAACAAUUAGAUUAAUUAGGAACCGGAUCUAAAAUGACCCAUGUAUUAAUUAUAUGAGUCUCGUCAAUUUUAGAUAUGAGAUACAUAAAAAAUGAAGAUAUCUCACUAAUGGAUUGUUUAUUUCAUACCUAAUUCUUCGCAUCCUCAUUUCUUCAUAUCCCAAUACCAUGUAAAUAAACAUGCCAUCGAUCAUGGGUUUAAUUAUUUGGCUUCUAGAAAUGGAAUUUCUAAUCUAUAUGGUUUAACCACCAUGUAAAUAAACAUGCGAUCGACAAACUAUCAUGGGCUUAUUAGGCUUCUAGAAAUGGAAUUUCCUAUCCAUAUGGUUUGACCAAUUCCAUGAUACAUUCCCGCAUCGGUCGAAAUUCUUUGAAUGAGAGAUUAUUUUACUGUCCCAUCACAGCUUUAGAUAAAUGAGUAAUGCUUGGUAAAUUAAAAUUUUAGAUAAAUUUAUAAAUUAUAUGAUGUGUCACUACUAGUACAAAUUAAGCAUAUUAAUAAAUACUUAAUUAAUAAUUUUGUCUUUGACAAAAAAAAUUAAUAAUUAUGUCAUCAACAACCAUGCAUGUCAAAUAAUUUAUGAAAUUUAAUCUAAAAAGUUGGUCUCCUUAUCAUUACUCUAACCAAUUUUAAUAAUUAACAUUAUACGCUAUGGUCUUGCACUAAUCAAGAUUUACCCACCAGCAAAUUAAGAUCUAUGUACUUCAGGUUUCAGAAUUUGAAUGACAUUGGUCUCAGGACAUGUCACCAAGUCCAAUAUUAAGUUCAAAUAACCCAGUUGCUAAUUGAAAUUGAAAACCAUGCAUGUUAAUCCUCCAAUAACUAAGGAUAAAAUUAUCACUAUCUAUUUCUUCUUUUCUACUUCCUUAAGUGCAGGAUAAUCUCAAGGGGUUGUCAGUUGUGGGUUUAAUUUUCGCUUCCGAUUGGGGUCCGUAGAUGUGUAUACCGAAACCCUAUACAUUUUAAGAAUGAAAAAGAAAAGAAAAACAUGUUAGAUGAGACUUCAAUUAAACUGGAAUGAAAAAAUUUAACUCAGAGAUAUAAUAGGGUUCAAUAAAUUUAAGAAGGUAAUGAUAAUCACACAUUAUUUUUCUCCUCAUACACACCUUUUUUCAAUUUCUGACAAUCAAAUUGAAUAAAUGAAAUCGAAACAACAUACAUGAUUAAGCAUGGAUGUGUAAAAAGUAUGCACUUAAUGUCUUUCACUACGCUUUUUUAUUACUAACGAUAUUAUACACUAAUUUACACGGGAAAGAAAGGGGUGCAUACUGCUUAAUUAGCAAGGAAUACGAAUUCUACCACUUUGAAAUUAAGUCAUUUUGGAAUUAUUAUAUAGACUUUAGCCAUUAAGUGCUCUAGAAAACACUAACUAUGAGAUAUUCUAUUUUAAUAAAGUUUUGGAAUCAAUAUUAACUACUCUAGUCACUUAGUACUACGGUAUAGUGAUAUUCCUCUUGACUUGUAAGUGAGAGGUCUUAUGUUCAAUUCUCACCAAAGGCGAUCAAGUUUGAACCAUAUUAUUGUUAGCCAAUUAUGAUGCUAAUUCUACUCCCUCUCCUUAUUGUGGAUAAUAUCGUUUGUUCAAAUAAAAAUAUUAACUAUAUACUCUAAGAAUAUAUUUAAAUUCAAUUUAAACUAAAUCUCAAAAUGAACUGAUUUACUAUUCAUAAGCAUAGUGUAGUUUUAAUUUUGCUCCUACUUAAUUUCUGUAAAAUUAGAGGUAUAAUUUAAUUUUUUUAUAUUUGAGACCAACAUCUCUUCCGAGACCAAGAAAAAGAAUAGCCUACUCUUCUGUAUCUCAUAUAGGUUUCAUAAUUAUGGGAAUUGGUUCUAUAAGCGAUACAGGGAAGUGCAGAGGCCUUUGGUGUCCCCUCCAGUUAAGAAUUUGGGUCUCACACUCACUAGUCAAUAUGUCUUUCUCUCAUCCCUUUCUUCGCACGCGGCGCGCUGGGGUGGUCAUUGGUCUUCGAGAUUUUCAGUAAGAUUUUUCUUGAUGCUUCUAUUGGUAUGGGACUAUAAGUAUAUUAUCAAAUAGUUGGGGCAUGAAUCUGGCAUAGUGAAAUUAUCAGAAAGUCGCCUUGAUCUCUAGAUAGGUAUCUAUAUGAUUGAAUUCAUGGGUUAUUGAAUUCUGCUUUUUAAUUUUAUUUUCUUCUGAUUUUAAGUUGGAUGUGUCGAGGAGAAUGAAGGAGUCACAAAUACCGGAGUUACGAAUUUGGGUGUCUUCAGUAGAACAAAUCUUUAGUUUUUGAACUUUGUCCGGUUUUGGACAUUAAGGGGCACUCUACAACUUUGGGAUAGGACCAUAGCUUUUGAAAAACACUCAUGUAGGAAAUGACAUACCAAUAUCCCAAAAUUUUCUCAUGUAAUAUAUGGAUGUAAAUAAUACUCCCUAGGUAUGGCGUACCAACAUCUCCAAUUUUGCUAACUCCUUACACAAAAUUGUAAGGAACACGUGAACACUAUGAAGUAAUAUAUGCAUAUAAAUAAUACUCUUUGCCACAUACAUUUUCAAGAUCAUUUCCACACCUUGAACUUUCAAAUCCCCUGAUAACGCACGGGUACACCCAGUGGCGGAGUCAGAAAUUUAUGUCAGGUGGGGCCCUUAAACUAAUGAAAGAAAUUAGAAAAAAAAAUUAGUAAUAUCACGGAAAUUUUGAAUCAAACAAGAGUGAUGGAGCUUUAAAAUUUGUAUGAAAAAAAUUAGUAUUGAGAGAUGUCAUAGUAAAUGGAACCUGUGUUGACAUCUAACACAACAUUGAUAAUAACGUUAUAACUAGCUCAAACUAUUAUUACGAUAUUUUUCUUUUAAUAUUAUUGAAUCUUCCUCUCGAAUAUAUAUACCUUGUUUUAUAUGAACUAACAAAAAAUAAGCUAUUAUUACGAUACUUUUUUUUAAUAUCAUUCAAUCUUCCUCCCGAAUAUAUAUACCUUGUUUUAUAUGAACUAACAAAAAAAUAAUUGGUUUAAAUGAAAUCAGAAUGUUAGCAGAAGGGUAGUUAUAGGGGUGUGAUAUCCACACACCCAUUUUUACUUCUCCCACACCUUUUUGGUUUUCGGCCAUCGGAUCAGAUGAAUUGAAGAAGAUCAACGGACAUAAAUUAACAAGGGGUGUGUGAGAAGUAAAAAAGGGUGUGUGGUUAUAUAUGGUAAUUGGUAAAAAAAUACCAAAAAGUAACUUUCCGUCAGCAGGUGUCGACCACAGGACCUAAUGAAACCUUUAAAAGGUGACAUACACAUGCACAUUAUUGCAAAAAUUACUACAUAAUUGAUAUAAAUUUAUUUCGAGGAUGGGCCAUGGACUACCCUAGUCUUCAUGUGGCUCCGCCACUGGGUACACCUGCUAGUUAUAAACUAAAAGCACGUGUAGAUUUUUACUAUAAGAUAAAUCCGGUAUACAGCUUGCCCUUCGACCACUUCAAGAAAUUUUACUUUUAAUUGGCUUUUUGGUUAACUUGUGGUUAUGACUUGAGUAAUUUGCCAUUCCAAUUUCCAGCAGCAUGUAUGUCACUCCCAUCAACCCUAAUACUUGGUCAUAAGUAUAUAUCUUUGUGAACUUCGAACAGAUCGUUUUGUUAAUAUAUAAAACAGUACUUCACGAAGCCUAAAUGUUUGCAUGCAUAUAUAUUCAAAGAUCUAACUCACUUGUUGGCAUAUCAACAAAAAGGCUGUAAUCCAAUUAAUCAUAAUCGUAACCUUGAAGACGUAUACCGCCGACGGUCCGACGAGUUUAAUUUUUUCAUUUUUAUUUAUCAACAACAAGGUAAUUAAAGAACAUCGAGCGUAGAUAUACAUUUACUUAUGUUAUUUCUUUCUCAAAUAACGUGAAACAUGCGUGUGCUAUAUAUAUGUUGAUGACCCAACGGAAACAAGGCACGUAUAUGCUGGUUUUGAAAAACAUGGCAUGUAUGAGAAGCCAUAAGUGUUGGAGGUUUGCUUCGUAACUCUGAGGGGGAAUGAAUUAAGGACUUUGCUGCUAAUUUGGGCAGAGGAAUCAUGAUGGAAAGUGAGCUAUAGGGUGUUUACAUGGGUAUCUCUAUGGUUUGGGACGAGGGAUAUAGGGAUGUGAUUCUUGAAUUGAAUGUGACCCUAUUGAUGUUACUUUGAUUCAACAACCUAUUUUGGUUUCACAUAUACUCUACAAUCUAAUAAAAGACUGCAAAUGAGCUAUCUAAGGAAAUUCGAGAUGCAAAAUCACUCAUAUCUAUAGAAAAAAGAAUACCUUGGUGAUAACUUAUCCCUUGAUCUUCAUGUUUUUUCCCUCCUAUAACUGCUACUAAUUUUUUUAAUUUAUGAUAUUACUGGCAGGCCCUUCCUAGGGCUGUCGUUGCCUAGUUUUUUCUUGUGCAUCGAUAUCCCAGAAUGCUAUAUAUUAGGUUUUUGGUAGAAUCUUUCGGAUAGUGGCCGAGUACUCUAAUCACAAUAUUUUUAAAUGUAUAUGGAAGUUAUAUAUACGCGCGUGCACACACACACACAAUCCAAUCGAUUGCGUAAUUAUUAGCAUUUUCAUUAGUAUUAGAUUAGUACUAGUUAGUAAUCUCGACUCAAUGAAUCCUUUCUUCCGAUUUGUAAUAAUUUUUAUUUAUCAUGCAUACCCUUUAAUGCAUGUCAAAACGUGGAUAGAAACGGCACAGGACUAGACUUCACUCUGGUUGGUGGCCUGGUGAAAAUUUGCCAUCACUGAUGACGAUAGUCCCAUUGUUUAACUAAGCGAUGACUUGAAUAUUGCACCAGCAAUUAGCAUGUCCUAAUCAGAAAAGUGCUAGCUGUUAAACUAAAUAAAUAUCCAGUAUUUGUAAAAAAUAAAAAAAAAUAAAAAAAAAAACUAAAUAUCCAGUAAAUUAGCACAUGAAAGGUUCAAGUCAUUAAGCACGUGUUUUUUUUUUUCAGAAACAUUAAGCAUGUUUUUUUUUUGUUCUUAAACAAUUCAUUCCGUAAGGAACAACCUCUAGGUGAAAAUAACAUCCAUUAGGUACCCAUCACGCAACCUUACAUUUUUUAAAAAGAGAAAAAAACUGUGGGGUUGUUUGUUAUAGAAAAUUAGAUUGUCAUCUUUAAUUGAGAGUAUUUCUUAAUCCGAUCAUUCGUUAGGUACACAAUUCACAUACGUACCUAGAUAAAACCAAAAAUUAAAAUAUCAUAAGUACAUUUGGAUUUUUUCUUUUCUUUUGCUAAAUAAGUAUAUUUGGAGCUAAUCAGUGUGUUUGAAUUUCAAAGAAAUACAAACUUUCAUAAAUUAAGACAUAUAUAAUCAUUUACCAACAAAGCAUAAACCAUUCAAAAUUUCCCUUAGCGUUUUAUUUCAAUUCUUCGCAUAUAUUGCAAAGAGAAGGGAGCUAUGAGCAGACAACUGAUAAUAAAGUUUGAUUCAUGACUCAUGAGUUUACUAGACUAACUUAUCACCAGUGGCGAAGCCAGGAUUUCUUGAGGGAAGGGGCGAACUUAAAAGAAUGCAAGGUUGAAGAAAAAUGACAACAACUAAAUCUUUUUAUCUAGUAAUGUCUUCCAUAAUUAAUCAAUACAAACAAAUUACAAUUUGGAGAUAAUGUCUACGAAUUGCUUCACGAUAAUUAGGUGGAUAAUCAAUCAUUCGACGUCUAUGUGCAGGGUCUGCAAGAAGAUUAGCCAAUAUUUCAUCCAACUUAGUGACCUCACUUUGUUGUGACCUACUUGGAAUAUUUGAAGGAUGACUUCUUAGAAUAUUUGAAGGAGGAGGAGGACUACUCAGAAUAUUUGAAAGAUAUAGUAGUAAAACGAGUGUGGGUUUAACAUAGUGGAUAUAGUAGUAAAACAAACAUAAGGAUAUAUAGUGGUACGCAUAACAGGACUACGUCCACUGCCGUCUCUUUAAUAUAUUACACGAGUUUUGAUAACUCAUUGGAAUGACUUUAUGAAAUACGUCAAGUUUACUCUCAUACGUGGCACACAUGAUAAUUUCGCACGACAAACAAACUAUGUUAUGGAUAUUUUCAUGUUGCAACAACUAGGAAAUUACAAUUAUCAAAUUUGAUACAACUGAAAAUAUAUUAAACAAAAUUAAAUUUUGGCUUUAAUGCUAUGUAUUGUUCAAUCAUACGAGUGUUUUCACUAUUAAAUUUGCUUUUCACAAAUACUUAGAUCUUAUAUUUUGAUUCUCAACUGUUUAUUUUCCGUAUUAUUCAAUUAUACGUAAUAUUUAUAUAAAAAAAUCCAACUACAAGAACCAUAAACUCGUGAUUUAUCAUAUUUGGGGAAAAUAGGGCUUCUAUUUGAUUGGACCAUUUCGAACAAUUUAUCCCCAACAGGCCCAAUUGAAUCGGGGGGUUACCCAGUGGAGUUUUAGACUUGGGUCUGUAGCAACUUACCCGGUUGCAGAGAAGCAUCGAAAAUCCGAAACGAAGAAGAAGGUGGUGUUUCGUACGGAGCACCGGAGCAAAGGAAACAAUUAGACAUGGGAGAGGUAGUAGAAGGCGUAUCGGACCACCGGAACUCGUUCGCAGCUCCAAUUGUAUUCGUAAUCGUCGUCGCAUUCCAGAGGAGAUGAACCAGUGAGGUUUCCGGUGAGGGGAGUGGCGAACCCAGCUUUCCAGUGGUGUUUUCCGGCGAGGGGAGUGGCGGCCGCCACUCCUCGCCCCCACGUGGCUUCGCCACUGCUUAUCACUAUAGCUAAAUCUACAUACAUAUAUAGGGUAAGGAUUGGGGAACUCUUAUUUUUUAAACACAUUUUGACACACACUUUAUAAGGCUGACUUUGUAGUUUCAACGAUCCAACCCUCUAUCUUUUAGGUCUUCUCUCAAAGAUUAUGUCUAUCAAAAAUCACCCAAAUCUGAAACCUUAUGAACGUUGGAUUAAUUGAUAGUCAUUUUAGUGUUUCUUUGUCGAACCUUAUUCAUCCGUUUUCUUCACUACAAAUAAAUGUCUUAUGAUUUUUGGAUUUGUCUAAUUUUUUUGCAAGGAUGAUCUAUGAAUAAUGAUGAAUUGAAAUAUAGAUAUUUCAAAUCGUUGAAAAAAGUUACGAAGUGAGCCCUACAAAGUGUGUCAAAAUGUAUGCCAAAAUUUAUUUCAAAAAAUAGGUGUCUCUUGAUCUUAACCCAUAUAUAAGUAUUGAUUGAAACAUUUUUGCCAAUUUAGUCCAAAGCCACAUCUAUAUAGUUUAUGCAUAAUAUGUUUGUUUGUACAUAUUUGAGUUCAAGAGGGUGUUGUUUUCGCUAUUUAUAAAUUAAAUGGGCUUAAGCUUGCAAUCUUGUUUGGAAGUGCUUUUAAAAUGACUGAGCAUUUUUGGUAAAAAUGUUUUUGAAACUAUCCUUAGUAAAAAUCUAAGUGGAUCCUGGAAAAGCACUUUUAAGUGCUUCUUGCAGGAAGCAGAUAUCUGGUGAUUCUUUAUGAAAGAAUCUUAAAAGUGUUUUUAGAACUCAUAAUAAGUUUCACCAAAAGCUCUUUCACUCAUUUUAAAAGCACUUCCAAAUGAGUCAUAUAUCAGCUACCACCUUAACGGCUACUCCCGCAAUUUGUCCGACAUAUUUUAACGGAUUCAUCAAACGUUUACAAAGCUCAGAGAUCGAUCCACAAAUUAUAUGGGGAUGAAAUAUGCGUUGAAAAUAAACUCCUUUAUGGCUCCUUUCACCACAUAUAAUAAGGACUGAUAAUAAACACUUUCAUUUUGUUUGGUUCUUAAUCUGAAAAAACCAAAGCUAAUUUUGACUUUUUAAUAACGACUCACAACUGUAUUUUGUAUGGUUCUUCCCCGGGGAAUUCUUUACAACAGAUAUGCAGGCAAUAUAUAAGGGGAUAUUUCAUUUCAAGUAAAUUUUUAUAGCUAGCAUAAAAAGAUGUAGAUAAAAGAAUUUGAGGAUAAGUUAACGGUUCAUCUAUCUGAAUUACUCAUCGAAAAGAUAGCAAAUGUAUGUUUUGUGGCCAACAGAGAGAUAAAAGAAUUUGAGCUUGAGACCACUCAUAUCACAAGACUAAGAACUAAUUAGUAAUUACAAUAUUUCUCUGUUCCAAAUUGGUAAAAUCACCAAGGAAAAGUUACAAUAUUUUAGUACAUUAACGACGUCGGCCUUCCAGAAACUUCAGAUAGAAACAUUAGCCGAAAAAACACAAUUAUUUGGACCAGGUAAAGGGAACGACACUUUAAUUCCACUACUAUGCCCUAGUUUUUCCUCUCUCAAUAUUUACAGUUUUUGCCAUACGUUUUAGCCUAUAUAAACAGCAAUAUAUAACUUUGUGGUGUAUAUACACUUGAAUUGCAGGAAAAAAAUGGCACUAUCGCAGCUCCCAGCAGGCUCUCAAAGCUCUAAUUCGCUAUUCAGCGUACUAGAGAUCGCCAAAGAGCCCUUAACCUCAGUCCCACAAUGUUACGUGCGUUUGGAACAAGAGCCAACUCCAUCUGAACUCUCUGAUAGUCAUAAGGGCACCUUCCCUUCUAUCCCUACUAUCGAUAUGACGAAAUUUGUUAACGGAGAAACCUCCGACUUUGCAAGUCAACUAGAAAAACUGCACUCAACUUGCAAAGAUUGGGGCAUUUUUCAGGUCUAAUACUGAUCUCUCAAAUUUAUUGAACUCAAAUACUUUUUUCCUAAUGUAGACACGGAUUAGUACUGCACUUAAAUAUAUCAAAUAUAUAUAUAUAUGUGUGUGUGUGUGUGUGUAUCCUCAAGACAAGCUAGUAUUAUUUGGAAUUACAUGAAUUUAAUAUCCGAUGAACUAAAUAAAUAUGAAACAUUUCAAGUUAAGCAUAGCUAGUUAGAUAUAUUGUCUUGUUUUAUAGGGCCUUUAUCUUUUUUCUUUCUAUUAUAUGUCUACAAUUUAUCAAAAUAAAGUUGGAGAAAAGUAACACAUAACCUUGAUAUUGUUCUUUUUUUAUUUAUUUACAGUUGGUGAACCAUGGAGUUAGCCCUAUGCUGUUAGAGAAGCUGAAACAUGAGGUUCAAGUUUUCUUUAAGCUUCCCUUGGAAGAGAAAAUGAAAUAUACAAUAAGAUCAGGUGAUUUUGAAGGGUAUGGAAACAUAGUCAAGACCAAAGACCAAAAGCUUGACUGGGGUGAUAGGUUCUAUAUGAUAACCAACCCUGUUCAUCGAAGAAAUCCGUACCUCUUCGCGGAGCUCCCUUCUUCCCUCAGGUCCUUUCUCUGAUAAAUCUUAAGCACCUGUUUAAUAACCAUUUUCAGUUUUCAUUUUUUAAUUUUCAAAAAAAGUGAAACGAAAGCUGAAAACUAAAAUAAAAAUGGUUGUGAAACGACCCUAAACUUGUAUACAAUUGUUUUCUCACGUAUUCAAACACAUGCGCACCCAGUUUUUAUGAUUUUUUAAAUUGACAUGUUUUCUUGGUAUAUACUAGGAAUACCUUGGAGUCAUACUUUAUGGAAUUGGAUCAACUUGCUAUGAGACUUCUUGGGUUUAUGGCGAAGGCUCUGAAAAUAGAGAUGAGUGAGAUAGAGGAGUUGUUUGAUAAAGAAGGGAUGCAAUCAGUGAGGAUGACAUACUAUCGUCCAUGUCCACAACCAGAGCUGGUUGUAGGGCUCACACCUCACUCAGAUGCAACUGGGAUCACCAUCCUCAACCAGCUUAAUGGAGACGGUCUCCAAAUUAAAAAAGACGGGGUUUGGAUGCCUGUAAAAUUCCAUAAAGAUGCUUUUGUGGUGAAUGUAGGGGACAUCUGUGAGGUUCGUCUUAUAUAUUCAAUUAAUCCUAUACUUAUCACAUUUUUCACAUUACAUUUGUACCACAUCUAUAAUAAAGGAUGUGGUAAAAGUAGCAUUUUUGUAUAUAUUCUUCUUUCCUCACCCUUCUUUUCUGCCCUAUAUAUUCAACCAAAAAGUAAUAAAAAGAUGAUAAAUGAAAGAGAAAAAGACUACUAAAGCUAACAAACGUGGGAUUUUGAAUCUCUAUACAUUCAUGUUGGAGUUAAUGAAAUGAAGUUGUCUAUUAUUUUAGUAUGUACAAGUACUCGGUGCGGUGUACAUAUUUGGUCUUUGAAUUUUAUUCAACAACCUAACUUAAUGAAGGAGAAUUGUCAGAUCAAAUUCAACAGUUAAAUAUGUGUAUAUAUUUUGAUACUAAAAAACAUCGGUGAAACUAGGGCAUAAAUCAGGAAAUAAGCCGGCUGAAAGAAAAGUUGAGAUUUGCAUGUACUAGCUUUAUCAAUAUUAUUGAAUUGGUAUGUAGAAUGAACAAACCACCGUACGUGGAACAUUUUAUCAGUGGUUUGAAACUGUUGAGUUCAAUCAAUUAACAAUAAAAUAAAAACUUUAAUCUAUCAUAUUACUAUAGUAGUAGGACAAUACUUGGGUUCACGUCAUAGCUUAAACCGUUCUUCUUUCGAUGGCAACAUGUAAUCAAUGACGGAGCCACUUUAAGGCCAUUGUCCUGAAUUUUUUUCUUAUAAACCUCUACUACCAUUGAUCAAUUUUUUAAUACCACUUUUAACUUGAAUUUGUUUUGUAUUGGUUAGUCAAAUUAACUUUAUCCAAAAAAUAUAAAGCCUUAAUUUUUAGGAAAACUAAUGAAAAAGAUUUGAAAACUUUGAGUUUUAACGAUAAGGUCGAAAUAAAGGGUAAAGUAAAUAGUACUAGGAUUGAAUUUUUACUGUAAAAAUGUAGUUUUUCGUUAAACUGAACAGUACCGUGAGCUUUUCGUUAAAACUCCCUUAAUUUUUUACAUCAUGAGUUCAAAACUACAAUUCUAUAAUGAUAUUAGUUGAUCAUAUUCUUUGUUUUUUGCCUAUAUACAAUAAUUUUCCUUUGCUUGCAGACUAUUAUUUUGAUUAAUUUCUCAUUUUUCUCUAUUAUAUCAUUUAUGAAAUCAAGAAGAGAAAAAGUUUGUUUAUGUCAAAAAAAAAAGAAUAAAAAAACCUUCCAAAUUCUCUUAUGCCUUAUGUUUUUACAAAGGAAUGCUUGGUCACUCACAUUCGAAUUUAAUAUCAAGAAUGAACAAUAAAUGGAUGUGCUUUUAAUGUUUUAUUCUCAACCCUUGAUAUCAAGUUCAACUGUUGGUCAUCAAGUAACUAAAAGAACAAGACUACAUUUCUAUAUGUAUUAUGCCCAUUUUAGUCUGAAGUGUGCCCCCCUUAACAGGAAUUUUUGGCUCCACCACUGCAUAUAAUUGUUUCACCGUAUAACUGCCACGUUGUUACUGAAGAAGGAAUAACUCUUAUAUGUAAUAAGGGGCCAAACUGUUUCUGUUACUUAUUCAUUUAUGUUAUCACAUGUGCAUUUAAUUAUGUGGUAAUAGUAUAUCUUCAAUCAUGGAGAAAAAAUUUCAGUGUGCCAAAAAUAUGGCCCGGUAAAUCAAGUAUUAUAAUACAAAUGGUUUGAAUUUUCUUUUUUAAGUAUUCAACCAUUUGUAUUAUGAGAUUUAGUAUACCGAGCUUUGUUCCUGGCACAUAGAAAAACAUCUCCAAAUCAUGCUAAGGAAAAUGUAUAUUACAUUUGAAGAAAAGAGAGAUUAAAUUAGCAUACGAAUUGUUAUUGACACUAUCAAAAUAUCAUCAAACACUCCUCACAAGUAUAUUUUUCUUUCUAAAAAUAGAAAGUUUGACGUACACAUAAAAUUCUUGAAGUGCAAAUAAUAGUUCCCUUAAUUUAUUUUAAGUACUAUAAUUUCUCUUGAACUUGAAAUUAAAGGUGUGUAAAUGUAUGCAGAUGCUGAGCAACGGAGUGUACAAAAGCAUUGAACACAGGGUAAUGGUGAAUUCCGAGAAGGAAAGGGUGUCGGUUGCGAUGUUCUUCGUCCCUAAAUAUGAGGCAGAGAUUGGGCCACUCAGAAGUUUGGUAUCCCCCCAAAACCCACCACUGUUCAAAAGGAUUGGGACGGAAAAGUACGUGAACGAUUUCUUCUCCCGCCCUAGGCUUGGUGGAAAAUCGUAUUUGGAGCAGAUGAAAAUCCAAAAUGUUUGACUAAUGGCUGAUCGAUCCUAUCGAUUAGUCAUCCAUCAAGAUAUAUAGUACUAUAAGUUUCCUAAAAAAAAGAUAUAUAGUACUAUAUGGUGUGACAAUAAUUAAAGUUGUGCAUGUACAUUGUAUAUGCAUAUGCUUUUCCAAAUGAGUGGGGUAUUUGAUUAUAUAGUGCCUACAUUUCGUAUGUUUCAAGCAUGCAUGCAUGUUAUAGCUCCUAUUUGGUAUGUUGUGUAAAUAUAUGCUUUUGUAAAAUUGAAAAAGGAAAUAAAAUGUGUUUUGUUUUUAGUGAUGACUAUUGGUCAUCAUACAAUAGUAGGAGGCUUGAUGGAAAAUCGUAUUUGGAGCAGAUGAAAGUCCAAAAUGUUUGACUAAUGGCCGAUCGAUCCUAUUGAUUAGUCAUUCAUCAAGAUAUAUAGUACUAUAUGGUGUGACAAUAAUUAAAGUUGUGCAAUGUAUAUUGUAUAUGCAUAUGCUUUUCCAAAUGAGUGGGGUAUUUGAUUUUAUAGUGCCUACAUUUCCUAUGUUCCAAGCAGUGGCGAAGCUACGUGAGGGCGAGGAGUGGCGGCCGCCACUCCCUUCGCCGGAAAACAUGCCUAGGAGCGCUAGUUCAGCCCCUCCGCUCUCAUUGAAAUCAAGGGUCAGGUACUGGUUCGGUCGAGAUUUGCAGAUGAAGGAGUCAGAUUUUUAGAGGAAGGGUGAUGAGGGAGAAGGUUGGGUGGAGGGAACGAGGGCGUCAGAUUUUCAGUAGCUGCGAUGUUCUGGCUUUCUACAAACCAGAAGCAGAGAAGAAGACGAUAAUUUCUAUUAAAAAAGCAUCUUAAGUCACGUGCUAUGUUUUUAAGUAAAAUAAUAAGCAUUGAUGUGUUGUACACCACUUAGAUCACGUGGGAGGCAAAUAGCCUCACCAUUUUUUAUUUAAAAAACAAAAAGGCUCGACUUUCUAAGAACCACCCCACCCAUUAACUCCCUAAUCCUCCAUUUCCUAAAUUCCACUCCACCCAACCGAAGUCCACCAUCAGCAGCACACCACCAAUUUCUUCCUCAAACUUCACGUACCUAUCGACACUUCAAGAUCAACUUAAUUAGGCAUUUCAUGAUCAAUUUGAUAUUUAUAUUUAUUCUAUGUGUUGAGAAAUAACUUUUCUUAAUUGCAAGGAAUUAAUGAUCUUAUUAAAAAAUGAUGGAAAAGGGUUAUACUAAAUUGUUGUUUGUAUAAAGAUUAUGAAUCAAAAGUUGUAAUUUAUUGUUUAAUAUUUCAAUGGUAUUUUCAUCUAUUUUUUUUUAUAGCUUGAAUAUUAGAACCACCUAAUAUUAAAAUCAUGGAUCCGUCACAACUUGGAGGAGAAGGCUGCGAUGGGAUCGAUGAAGGGCUACAAGUUUUUUAGAAUCUAAUCCUAACCAAUUUAAGCUUCUUACAUAGCUUUGAUAUUACAGCUUACAACCGCUUUGGUGAAGAGACAGUUUUCUGUUAUGAAUAUUGACUCAAAACUUUGCGCUCUCCAAUGUGAAAGCAACCACUUCGAUUGAACCUUGCACUCUUUUGAAUUUCGCCCCUCCCCUUGGCAAAUCCUGGCUUCGCCACUGGUUCCAAGCAUGCACGCAUGUUAUAGCUCCUAUUUGGUAUGUUGUGUAUAGUAUAUGCUUUUGUAAAAUUCAUAAAGGAAAUAAAAUAUGUGUUGUUUUUAGCGAUGAGUAUUAUUCAUACAACAGAACUAGCACUCAAGCGCCAAUUAGGUUGUAACUUAAUACGGUGUUAUUUACUAGUUUAUUCUUGCUUAACAAUAUUUUUCAUCGACCAUUAAUUUUUAGGUUAUCACUAAAUGAUCAUUCUUGCAAAACUUCAUUGAAAUUAGAAGACGUUUAGUUAUCAAAUUAUGAAAUGCUCGUAAUAAUAACUCAAGGGCUAGAUGAUUUUCGAUUCGAGUGAAUAUUUGCUGAAUGAUACAUAAAUUAAUAAAGAACUAAGGAACGGUUUGGAUCAUGAGAUUACUUUAUGAAGCUGACUCAAAGAAAUGGUUUGGACCGUAUUAAUUAGUUACUAAUCAAUUAGCGCUUGACUACCAUCUUAUAAUUUUUUUGAUAUUUUCUUUUCUAGUAUACCUUAGGGGUUUGUAAAUUUGUUUUUUAGCGUUUAUGAGAGGCUCCUCCUCACAUAAAACCUUGACUGUCAUUGCACAUUUUUGUACAAAACGAAACCCACGUAAAGUACAAAACGAAACCCAGCGCGACUUCGACUUCGACUUCAAGUACAUCCAGUUCUUCGUGUACGUUAGUUAUGUGAAGGUUGUUUGGACUUCAGGAUGCAAGCAGAACAAUUUGUAGGAGGUAAACAACUCAACGAACUGAGUCAUAUCGGAAUCAUCCAUCGUACUACAUUCACAUCUUAAACUGAAAAUUUGAAGACAAGUCUAAAAUCUGUAAUCAUAAACAUACGAAGCCGGCAGAGAGCAAACAUUAGUCAGAAGUUACUCUGCAUGCUAGCAUAGAUUGCUGUUGUUGCAGUUGGAAAGCAUUAAGCACUACCAAGAACAGUACUACACACAUCAGGCUAUGUAUUUAUUCUUGGCACCUCUCCCAAGUCUAAUCGCAUCCUCCUGCAAAAACCGGAGCGUAUAGGGUAUUAUUUAUUUAUGAGGCCCCCAACUUAAUAGGAAACUGAAUAGAAUAACGAACAAUAUACGUAAGAAACAACAUCCUUACAUGAAAUACGAACCCAAUAGUUUCAUUGUAGUCCAGAAACCCCUUCCAUUGUUUCCCAAUGCUCACCUGCAGCAAGAAAGUGGAUGUGAGACAUCAUUGCAACUUUCUUUACUAGAAUGCAACUCACUGCUAUACGUACAAAUAAGUGCAUGUAAUUUGACGGCGCCAUUUUCUCAAAGAAAGGCCUAUUCCCACCCUUCGGUGUUUGGACCAGGCGAUAAGUCUAAAAAAAAAAAGGUCGUACCCAGUGCACAAGGCUCCCGCUUUACGCAGGGUCUAGGAGAGGUGAAUGUCGGCUAGCCUUACCCCCAUUUAUGAAGAGGCUACUCCCAAGUCUCGAACCCGAGACCUACCGCUCAUGGGCGAAGGCACUUGCCAUCGCACCAGACGAUAAGUCUGGCUCAACAAAUUUAAGUUAUGUACAAAAUAGAUUCCUAUAAACUAUUUGGCCCAAGUGGCCAAGUAGCUACCUUCUGGCUUUAUUGAAAGAGACCUUCUAUUUGACUAAAGAGGAGAGCAGUUGAAUCGCCAAGGGUCUUGAUGGAUUUGGGACAGGGAAAUUGAUCAACAUAACGAAUAAUUCUUUCUUUCUUCCUAAAUAGUCGGGAAAUCUUUCCUUCCACUAAAGCGACAAACCCAAAAUGUGAUGCUGUGACAAUUUUAUCUAAUGAUACAAAGCUUUUAAAAUUUUCAACUUUCAUGUAUGUAAUGUGCCUUCGUGCAUUACACAACAUACAGGGCGUCAAGCAGCAAUUACCUGAGCAGCUUCAUUUGUUGCAUUCUUGGUCCAAAGAGUUAUUUUUUCUUGGCUUUUUCUGACACUGACUACUGCUCCACAGAUUUCAUCUCCAUGAUCAAACUGUUCUCCUAUCAUUGCUAGCAACUGGUACCAGAAAAUACAAAACAAUUAGAGGCCCCACAAACACACAGAUAUACAUACAGACACACACACACACACACACACACACAUAUAUAUAUAUAUAUAUAUAUAUAUAUCAAUUUACCCACCCUCAAAUACCACUUUCAGUUUAGACCAUACCGUAUACAACCAAGGGGUAUCAGAUUUCCCCUUAGGAUUAGUGACAGUCCAGUUUCCUCCAUUAGCACACACAGGAUCCUCCCACUUUGGCUCAAUUUUGUUUUUGAAACAAUGGAAAUCGGUCCCCACAGUGAACUUGCUCGGAUGACGUACAUUGUUGUAAAUGCUGAAUGCAAAACAGAUAUUAUGAGCAAAUUUGAGUCACUAUCAAGAAAAGAGGAACAGCGGCAGACGACAAGCACAACUGCUGGAUAAUUCGUGCAGUUCUAUACAAGUAAUUCUCAUUACAUACAGCUUUUUUAGAUAACAACUUUGGAUUUAGGUUUCUUUAUGAAAAAGGAACCAAAGAGUUUGUCCACACAUACAGUUUAUUAGCUCAAAAGAAAUACUACCAUGCUUGCUUAAAUAACAUUACUUGGACCGAAAACAUCCACACUGAUACAUAUCAAAGCAUCCCAAAGAUCUAAGGAAACCCCUUCUAGCAAUUAUUUUGAUGUUGUUUGUGAAAUCAACACAUGGAUGCAGAAAUAGACACAUUCAAUUCCCCUAAUCAACUAGGAGUGAACCCAAUGAAAUAUGACUCAUUAUAAUGAGUCGUGUCAAAUCGGGGAACCUCUAAAAUAUCAGUAACACGAGAUGAUUAAUAGGACAACAGGAAAUCAAGAAACAAAUGCAACACCAGAUUGAACACAAGAUUUUAAAGGCUAACUAUUUUGAAAUCUCACUAAUCCUGGCAGCAUUCAUUAUUGCAAAAUCAUCAAGGAUGCUACAGAAGAGACGCAAGCAGCCGAAAUCGACACAAACACCCCAAAACAUGUAUCUCAAACAGAACCGAGUAACAAAUUUACAUACCAUACAAGAAAAGAAACGAAAACAUUGCGGACACUAAGAAAAUGUUGGAAAACAAUAGAAACCAAAAUCCCGUGAGUUUCAUAGUUUCCAAUUUCUAGGUUUACAAUCGAUACAAAACCAAAUCCAUUUCCUUUACCAAAAAAUGGCCAAAUUUGUUCCAUCACAAACUACAGCAAGCACAUAACAAACGCAAAAGAUUCAAUCUUUUCUAAGUUUUCCUACCAACCAAGCAAAAUUAAACCCAAAACCACAGGGAAUGAAAGAAAUUAACCUCCAAAACUCCUCGACGGUAGUGAAGGUGUAGAUCGGGCGGAUGGAGCUGCCCCAAUCCUCCUGCUUGGACUUGGCGGGCUUUGCGGCAGGGCUAUCGAACCAGAAGGUCCAUGAGUGCUCCAGGGCGUGAGACUGCGGCGCAAUUCCCUUCGAAGGCUUCGACGACUCCGAGUCUUGGUCCUCGACGAUCUCUCCUUCUUCGGGCUCGUCGUCAUCCUCCCUCGGCUUAGCGUUCGCCUCGGUCUUGGCCUGAUCUUCUGUAGCUGAAGUCUUGGGUGCGUCUUCGACCACCAUUGUUAGGGUUUGCGGAGGAGUUUCUUGCUCUCUUCUUUCCCGGCGUUUCUUUUGUGCCAAAUGUGAAACGGUUGCGUUUUAUUGUUAGAGUGAUGCUAGGGCGACAUGGAAGUAGUUAAAGAUUGAAUUAUUAAUUAUAGAGUUUUAACAAAAUAUUUUUGUUACUGUUUAUUUUUAACGAAAAUUAUAUUUAUACACUUUCUGAUACUAUUUAUUAUACUUUUAAAAAUAAUUUUUUAUAAAAAGGAAAAAAAAUUUAAACUUUUCGUUAGUUUUUCUUAUUAAUUAAAAGUUAAUUAAUGUAAAUUAAAUUAUAAUUUAAUCGUGUUUAAUUUUUAUCGAUAAUACAUUACUUAUAUUAUCUUAACAUUCGAUAUAUUUUUCUUAUCUUAUAUCUAUGUUUUGUUUUGUGACUAAAUUUUAAUGGUUAACACGUGUUCGAUAAUUAGAUGAUCCGCAGCUCGGUUUUCUUUCCAAAUUUCUUCUAGAACUAAUUUCGUGUACUUUCUUUCCGCCUCCGCGUUUCUGUUUAUUUAUAUUUCUAAAUUUUUUUUUAUUUAAUUAAAAAAUAAUUAGGUUUGAAAUAAAAUUAUACACAAUUUGGACUACCGUACCACUAGGUCCGUCGAGCCGAGGACACAUGGCAGACAGUUGUGGAACCAGAAAUUUACCACAUUAGAACCAUAAAAUAGAAGCUUCCAAAAAUUGAUCAUUUGUUUACUUGUACUUGCCAAUUUAUAAUUUUUCUGUAAAAAUUUCAUUCCAGAUCAAUUAAUCAAUACAAAAAACCUAAAAACCCUAAUAAGCCCCAAGAUGAGAAAAAUACUAUAUGGUUGGAAUUCCGUGAUACAACCAAGUGCGAUGAAGGGUGCAUGAUCAAACUUGAAAACAAAAGAAGCUUUGAAUUAAGAGAUAUGAAGUCCGGAUAAAAAAGGCGUUUGCGUAUUUGAUAAAUCUUCAGCUUGUUUUGAGAAUUAGUGUGCAAAACUUUUCAUCUAAAUGAAACAGAACAAAACUAACGCAUAGGCGUAAAACGAAAAUGCAAAGGGGGAAUAUAACAUUAUUGGGUCAACAGCAGCCACUACCCCACAUUGGCUCCGGCACUGCCGACGGGGGGUGCGCUGGAACUUCUUUGGUCAUCCGAACCUAAGAAUUUCUCCGAGGCCUAAGAGUUUCUCAGAGUCGUCACAGCCAUCAUAGUUCAAAGUUAAAUAUUAUACAACUAUAUAUAUUAUAUACUUGUAUUCAGUCAACAUGUCCACUGCAGGAAAAUUAUUUACAACGGUCUCUCUUCCCUCUCAACACUCAUACAACACAACGAACUGAGUCAUAUCGGACUCGUCCAUCGUACUACAUUCACAUCUUAAACUGAUAAUUUGAAGUCAAAGUUUAAAAUCUGUAAGUGUAAACAUACGACGCCGGAAGAGAGCAAACAUUGGUCAGAAGUUACUCUGCAAGCUAGCAUAGAUUGCUGUUGUUGCAGUUGGAAAGCAUUAAGCACUACCAAGAACAGUACUAUACACAUCAGGCUACGUAUUUAUUCUUGGCACCUCUCCCAAGUCUAUUCGCAUCCUCCUGCAAAAACCGGAGCGUAUAGGGUAUUAUUUAUUUAUGAGGCCUCCAACUUAACAGGAAACUGAAUAGAAUAACGAACAAUAUACGUAAGAAACAACAUCCUUACAUGAAAUAUGAACCCAAUAGUUUCAUUGUAGUCCAGAAACCCCUUCCAUUGUUUCCCAAUGCUCACCUGCAGCAAGAAAGUGGAUGUGAGACAUCAUUGCAACUUUCUUUACUAGAAUGCAACUCACUGCUAUAAAUACAAAUAAGUGCAUGUAAUUUGACUGCGCCAUAUUCUCAAAGAAAGGCCUGUUUCCACCCUUCGGUGUUUGGACCAGGUGACAAGUCUGGCUCAACAAAUUUAAGUUAUGUACAAAAUGGAUUCCUAUAAACUGUUUGGCCCUAGUGGCCAAGUAGCUACCUUCUGGCUUUAUUGAAAGAGACCUUCUAUAUGAUUUAAGAGGAGAGCAGUUGAAUCGCCAAGGGUCUUGACGGAUUUAGGGACAGGGAACAAGUAGCUACCUUCUGGCUUUAUUGAAAGAGACCUUCUAUAUGAUUAAAGAGGAGAGCAGUUGAAUCGCCAAGGGUCUUGACGGAUUUAGGGACAGGGAAAUUGAUCAACUUAACGAAUAAGUCUUUCUUUCUUCCUAAAUAAACAAGAAAUCUUUCCUUCCUCUAAAGCAACAAACCCAAAAUGUGAUGCUGAGAAAAUUCUAUCUAAUGAUACAAAACUUUUAAAAUUUUCAACUUUCAUGUAUGUAACGUGCCUUCAUGCAAUACACACCAUACAGGGAGUCAAGCAGCAAUUACCUGAGCAGCUUCAUUUGUUGCAUUCUUGGUCCAAAGAGUUAUUUUUUCUAGGCUUUUUCUGACACUGACAACUGCUCCACAGAUUUCAUCUCCAUGAUCAAACUGUUCUCCUAUCAUUGCUAGCAACUAGUACCAGAAAAUACAAAACAAUUAGAGGCCACACACACACACACACAUAUAUAUAUAUAUCAAUUUACCCACCCUCAAAUACCACUUUCAGUUUAGACCAUACCGUAUACAACCAAGAGGUAUCAGAUUUCCCUUUAGGAUAGGUGACAGUCCACUUUCCUCCAUUAGCACACACAGGAUCCUCCCACUUUGGCUCAAUUUUGUAUUUGAAACAAUGGAAAUCCGUCCCCGCAUUGAACUUGCUAGGAUGACCUAUUUUGUUGUAAAUGCUGAAUGCAAAACAGAUAUUAUAAGCAAAUUUGAGUCACUAUCAAGAAAAGAUGAAGAGCGGCAGACAGCAAGCACAACUGCUGGAUAAUUCGUGCAGUUCCAUGCAAUUAAUUCUCAUUACAUACAGUUUUUUUAGAUAACAACUUUGGAUUUAGGUUUCUUUAUGAAAAAGGAACCAAGGAGUUUGUCCACACAUACAGUUUAUUAGCUCAAAAGAAAUACUACCAUGCUUGCUUAAAUAACAUUACUUGAACCGAAAACAUCCACACUGAUACAUAUUGAAGCAUCCCAAAGAUCUAAGGAAACCCCUUCUAGCAAUUAUUUUGAUGUUGUUUGUGAAAUCAACACAUGGAUGUAGAAAUAGACACAUGGAUGUAGAAAAUGUUGGUAAACAAUAGAAACCAAAAUCUCGUACUUUAACUAUGGAGAAUGCAAAUCAUCACUCUAAAUCACAGGGCAGUCCCGUGAGUUCCAUAGUUUCCAAUUUCUAGGUUUGCAAUCGAUACAAAACCAAAUCCAUUUCCUUUACCAAAAACUGACCAAAUUUGUUCUAUCACAAACUACAGCAAGCACGUAACAAACUCAAAAGAUUCAAUCUUUUCUCAGUUUUCCUACCAACCAAACAAAAUUAAACCCAAAACCACAGGAAAUGAAAGAAAUUAACCUCCAGAACUCCUCGACGGUAGUGAAGGUGUAGAUCGGGCGGAUGGAGCUGCCCCAAUGCUCCUGCUUGGACUUGACGGACUUUGCGGCAGGGCUUUUUAACGAGAAGGUCCAGGAGUGCUCCAGGGCGUGAGACUGCGGCGCAAUUCCCUUCGAAGGCUUCGACGACGCCGAGUCUUGGUCGCCAACGAUCUCUCCUUCUUCGGGCUCGUCGUCCUCCUCCCUCGGCUUAGCGUUCGCCUCGGUCUUGGCCUGAUCUUCUGAUGCUGAAGUCUUGGGUGCAUCCUCGACCACCAUUGUUACGGUUUGCGGAGGAGUUUCUUGCUCUCUUUUCUUUCCCGGCGUUUCUUUUGUGCCCAAUGUGAAACAGUUGCCAUUUUUGGUUAGGGCAAUGCUAGGUUGUUUCACUAUUGGAUUAUUAAUUAAGUGUUAAUUAAUGUAAUUUGAUUAUUAUUUAAAUCUUAAUUAACGUAUUUAUUUUUUAUUCAUCAUAUAUUAUUCAAUUUGUAAAUUUAAUCUACAAAUUUAAUCUAUCUGAUUAACAUCGGUAAAUUUCUCUUAUCUUAUAUUUAUGUUUCGUCGCGUGGCUAAGUUUUCGCAGUUAACACGUGUUCGAUAAUAAGAUGAUCUGCAGCUCAGUUUUCUUUCCAAAAUUCUUCCAGAACUGAUUCCGUAUACUUUGUUUCCCUCUACACAUUUCUGUUUAUUUAUAUUUCUUAAUUUUUUUAUAUUUAAUUCAAAAAUAAUUAGGUUUGUAAUAAAAUUGUUCACAAUCUGAGCCGAAGACACAAGUCGGAAAGUUGUAGAGCCAAAAACCAUAAAAUAGAAGCUUCCAAAAAUUCAUUCCAAAUCAUCAAUCAAUACAAAAACCCUAAAAACCUCAAUAAACUGAUGAGAAAAAUACUAUAUGAUUGGAAUUCCGUGAUACAACCAAGUGCGAUGAAGGGUGCAUGAUUGAACUUGAACACAUAAUAAGUUUUGAAUUAGGAGAUAUGAAGUCUAAGUGAAAAAUAUGUUUGCGUAUUUGAUAAGUAUUCAGCUUGUUUGAGAAUUACUGUGCUACAAUUUUCUUUUCAAUGAAUGCAUAUUAUCGGGCCAAUACUACCAGCUAGGGCACUGCAGAGGGCGGGCACGGCGGCCUGGGCGGUGGGGGAGGGGGGGUGUGGAGGAGCGGUGUGUGGUUUCAUCCGGACUUAAGAAUUUUUCCGAGACCUAAGAGUUUCUCUAUGGAACACUACUCAUUGAACCAACCAUUUGGCCUUAAGAACAUCACCGGACCAAAACGGGGGAAAGAGAGAGAGAGAGGUGUGCUGGGACUUCCUUGGUCAUCUGGACCUAAGAAUUUUUCCAAGACCUAUGGGACUUCCUUGGUCAUCCGGACCUAAAACAAUUUCCGGGACCUAAGAGUUUCUCCGAGUCGCCAUAACCAUCUUUGUGAAAAGCCGAAUCGAACUCUGAACUCAUGGAACACUACUCAUCGAACCAACCAUUUGGCCAAGAACAUUACCGGACCAAAACGGGGGAAGAGAGAGAGAGACAGAGAUACAGAGAGAGAGAUGGGGAACAAUUUCUUUUCGUUCUUUAAGAUAGAGAACUAUAUAUAUUAUAUACUUGUAUUCAGUCAACAUGUCCACAACUGGAAAAUUAUUUACAACGGUCUCUCUUCCCUCUCAACACUCAUACAACACAAACCCCAGUUGGAAAAAUAGCGCACGAACAAUUUAGCCGGACUGAGCGAAACCAACGUGUAUCAAACAAUCUCUCCUUCCUCCCCAUCCUCGUACAGCAUUGAUUCAUCAUCGUUGUCGUCUCCUGAAUAUUCAGGCUUUACAAAUAGACCUAGCUGCUCCAAAGGUGAUGGGGGAUGUGAUCCACCGAAACCCCCCGACCCACGAUUAAAGUUGAGAAUAGGAGCAAAUACGGAUAACCCUGUAAAUCUUCCAAGUUCCUCUAGGAUCUUCAAGCUUGUCUCAACCUCAACUGUUCGCUUCAUCUGGACAAGAGAUUAUAUUAAAUUAAGACCACAAAGGCGAAAUAAGAGACCACAUUCAUGCAAGAACCCAAAAAAACUUUAAAACAAAGGUAAACCUUCUCUAGUGCAUUUCGAGCUUCUUUUCUUUUUCUUUCCCGUUGCUGCUUCAACUCAUUCUCGGCUCUCAUUCGUGUGGCAGCUUCAGCAGUUCUUAUUUCAGCUUCGAUCCUUGCUUUCUCUGCAUUUAUAUAGUCAGCUUAAGAUCGUCAAUUAUAGGUAGGUGGCAACAGGUUUAACGAGGAGAUAUUUUCUACGACUCAUGUAGUGUAGCAUCUUAAAAAAUAAAUAAAUGUAACCAUAUGAUUAUUACUAACUGAGAUGUUAAAAUGAUUUUCCAAACAGACGGAUCAUCUACUUAAAACCGAGCACUUUCUCAUUGGCUGCAUUUGUGUAAAAUAAACAAUCUCCCAACCCAGAAUGAUGCAGCCGAAUAAAGGAAGAAACAAAACUAGCAUUGCUAGAAAAUCAAAACUAGAUUCUUUUGGCAAAAAACAAGAUAUUUACCUUCACGCUGCUUCCUCUCCAAUCUUGCCCUUUCCUGCUGCAUCUUAAGUGGAUCACUUCUGUCAUCCUGGAUGUAAGGAGGAAACACUGGAUAAGCAAACCCAAAUGCUAAAAAAUUAUCAAACAACCUAAUAAAGUGAAAAUGUUCUACCACAAAAUCCAACAAUCUCUACAUGAUCUUGCUAAAAAAAUGAAGCUUACAUGAUCUAGGAGUUUCUGCUGUUGAGCUUUCCAAAUAGUGUCUGCAAAGCGGCUCUUUAGCAUUGCAGCACGGAGAGCCCUUUUGGGUGACAUUUGAACAUCAAAAUGAGAAGUGCUCCAUCCUGAAAGAAAUGAGAAAGAUCACCAAUUCAGUAAGUCCAAAUAUGCCAAGCUAAAUAGUCAAUGGUCAGACUUAAGUUUUGAUAUUGCUGGUGAAUAAACUGACCUUCUCCAGAAGCAGAAUCCGAUGCUGGAGUUGUAAGCUGAGGACUGGAACAUAUGUUUUCCCCAUCCAAAGCACUUACAUCCCCUUCAUAUUUGCAACAUCAAUCUGGAUCAGAUCACUAAAAAUAACUAACUGGUUAAAUAUCCUAAUAUAACAAGAUGCUGUGUCAUCUCACCAUCAGAUUCUGGAUCUGAUUUGCUCGUCUGGGAUGUUGACAAGCUUUUUGCUUGACAAUCCUAUAAUUGAAUAAAAAGCUCCAAUUACUGCUAAAACAUAAAAGUCCUGAUGAAUAGUGUCAAGAAUAACAGAAACAUCGCCAUACAUACCAGUCUGGAUACAUUAGAAUUAGACCAACCGUGCUCCCUGCCCAUUGACCUUUCAGAAGAUUUGUCUGAACCAAAAGAAUAAAGAAAUAAAUCCAUCGUUCAACUGGAUAUUAUAUAGCAGCAAAUGAAAAGAUCAUCUAACCACUUAAGGACGUAAGGGUUGAGUCACUAGAAUGCCUGCAUUGACAUGCAAUGUUUCCGCAUGAACCACAUUUUAAGCAAACCAGGCUUGAUGGCUGCUUUGCAUUAAUGCCUGAAGCUUGUUUAUUGCCACUAUCGGUGCUUGUAUUUAAGUACUUCGAUGAUAAUUUGGGCUUAGAAUUCUGAGCUGUUUUAGAAAGCUCCGCCUAUAAACAAAAUAUACAUACAUUACUCAGGUAGAAAAGGAAAAUGAUCUUUAACAGUGUCAGUCAAUAAAUAAUCUAAAAAAUAAAAGUGUACACAGCAUUCAAGCCACCAUCUAUUAGCUGACAUGCUUAAAACUCCAACUUUAUUUGUUUUUUGCAGCAAUUCAGUAUGCAUUAUUGUAAACAUAAGAAAAUCACAAUUUCAUGACUAUCACUUACCUCAGCAUCAGUUGCACCAACAGGGACUCUUACCUUCUCUUCGCAUGGAAUAGACCUCUUGACCACCAACCUAUUUUGCAAGGGAGGAGUGUUGCAGGGAUUCUGUCUCACACAAGUAACUUUCUUAAUUUGCCCACUCGAAGAUUUCCCAGAUUCAACCUUUGAGCUUCCAUGACUCAACUUCUCAUCUAAAAGACCCCAUCUCAUCUCAAAAAUCCUAUUCAGGUUUUCUGCCAUAUGAUGAAAAGGAUUUCCAGGAGGAUUAUAGAGCAUGGCAUUAGAAAAAGUCAGCCUGACAUCGCCAGCAAACUCUUCAGCGCUGAAGUACAAAUCUUUCUGCAGCUUUGCUUUUACCGUGCCCAAAUCCAUAGGAUGAGAGAUGAUGUGGAAGUAAUCAGGGAUUCUCAGCUUCACAGGAUCAACUGGUUCAUUGAAAGGCCAGCUUUCCUUGUUAUUCAUCAGUGUUUUGAGAAUCGUUGAACAUUGCACCUUCACUCUACGAUCAAUCUUCAUCUUCUUCUCUUUCUGACCCUCAAGAUCCCCCGAGGGUUCACGCUUCUUAAAACCCGGAAGUGAAGAUUUUGACAUUGAGCUGACCUCCCUGAGUGAGGCUAGGUGCCCAUAGUCAUGUGAGUGACUCCUAGAAUAAUUAGAAUCAGCUUCUAUUUUUUUCCCGGGAUCAGCUUCAAUUCUUUUGCAGGCAAAUUUAAUCUUCAGCUUGUUGCUCGACAGCAUGGUUUUAGUGGUAAUCAUGGUAACGAAUUGCGUGAACUCAAGAUCAACAAAGCCGGAACUUCAAGUUCUUUGACAAAAUUGUAUGGCCUCCUAAUACACAAUAACACUAGGAAGACCAGUGCCCUCUCACAAUAAAGGCAUGAAAAUCACCACCAUGUGCAGUAAAAAACUGCAGAAAAUCAGCGGUGAAUAAUUUUACGAAUGUACAACAAGUGCACAGUAACUAAUUAUACAGUAAAACUUUGAAGAAAACAGAAACACCUAGUAUGUAGAUAAACCCCUCCACCUUUUUCCAAAAACUUUCAAUUGAAGUCUUCAAAAUUAUCGAAUUCAAUAACUAUAAUUAAGGAUUGUAUCCAAAUACUACAUAAAAGUAAUUUACAGAACUUCAACAUCAAAUUAACCAAGCAUCAAACCCAAGACAAAUCUGUUGACUUCCAAACUAGCCAUGAACGAAUAAAUCAAGUCAUUGACAUAAUAACGCAAUUAUGCCCCAAAUACAACAUAAUUACCAAACCCCCAAAAACAUAAAACACCAAAAACUCGCACGCAGAUUAAUCCAGCCGCCGAAAAAAGAAAAACCCAGAAACCAAAAGCAACAAGGAAGAAAACCCAAAUCAAAACUACAACUAAAAACGUAAAGAAACAUAUCGGGAAAUCAUGAGGCCAGGGAUCGAAGAAGAACUCACCGAAAUCGAGUCAAAAGCAGAGAGCAAAACAACCGAGAGAUCGUGCGCCGCGGCGCGAACGAGAGGGCUUUUCAGCCCCCUCGUGGAUUCCGGGAUACGAUGCGGGACUAGGGUUUAAGAGUGGGAGAGUGAGAGGAGGAGAGAGAAGAGGGGGGAGGGGGGUGGAGAGCGAGUGAGGUGAAAUAUAUCGAGUGUGGGGGGUUAGGGUUUCUCUUCUCACUCGAUCUCCCAAAUCUCAAUACAGCUAGGAUUUUUAUUUUUAUUUUUAUUUUUAAAUACGCGUAGACUUGGGUUGGAUGGGAAUCAUGGGAUCUUUCUGCGCAAUAUUUACUAGAUUCCCCCUUGCCAUUUGGUGAAAUUACCUAUUUACCAUUGGACUUCCCUUGUUUCGGGUGGAAAAAAUUUCCGAAAAUUCCAAACCGAACAAAAAAAAUCUCAAUCCCAAACCAAAAAUUUCCCAAACCGAAAUUUCUGAAAUUUUCGAGAUGCUAUCCCGAACCGAUCCUGAAAUUUUGGUAUGAAAUUCGAGAUUGGCUUCUCAAUAUUUCGGAAAUCUCAUACCGAACCGAAAAUAUAUAAUAUUAAUUAUUAUUGUAGACAUCGAAAUUUCGUAAAUAAAUGUUGACCGGUAAAUCAAAGUGUCAACGCUCAUGUAUUACAUAAAUUUUACACGUAGCGUGUGAUUCAACGAAAAUUGAAAUGAGUUGGAAAAGUCAUCAAAUAGGACACGUGUCAACACCUGGCAGAAACGACUUAUUUCAUCUGGAAUAUUAUAUUCAAAAUUAGGCCUUGGAAUUUCUAUAAAUACAAGCCUAUUUCAUUCAUUGAAAAAAAACCAAAAUCAUUAGGCAAAACUCUUGAAGCUCUGAAGCUCUGAAACUCCGAAGCUCUCAAGCAUCUAGGUUCCCGAAGAAUCAAGAAAGCCUUCUUCGUUCUUCGUUCAUCGUUCUUCCAAGAUCAAGCCCCAACGGCCCUUUGGAUCAACAAUCAUCCACCAAUUCAAGAUCAAGCCCCGACGGCCCUUGAAGAAAGUGUUCUUCGUUCUUCGUUCAUCGUUCUUCCAAGAUCAAGCCCCGACGGCCCUUGGAUCAACCAUCCACCAAUUCAAGAUCAAGCCUCGACGGCCCUUGAAGAAAGCACCAUCGUUCAUCAUCCGUUCAUCCAAGAUCAAGCCCCAACGGCCCUUUGGAUCAACAACGUCGACAAAUCCACACAUCCAACCGUUCUUCAAGAUCAAGCCCAAAAGCCCUUGAAGAUUCCGUUCAUCACUGUUCUUCAAGAUCAAGCCCAAAAGCCCUUAAAGAUCCGUUCGUCACUGUUCUUCAAAGAUCAAGCCCAAAAACCCCCUUUGAAGAUCCGCUCAAAUCCACCUUCAAGAUCAAGUCUACGGCCCUCGAAGAACGUUCAUCCUUAGAUCAAGCCCAACGGCCCUUUGGAUCAAUCGCACAUCCACAAAUACACACCUUACGGAGAUCGAAUCAGAGGAUCAAAAUAGAGAGAGAUUGUAACCCAAAAUCAUCAAAUACAAAUAUUUGUUUUUGUGCACGUUUGUUCUUGUCUCUUUCGUUUCAGGAAUUUUCCGUGUUCACAAAUUGGCACGCCCGGUGGGACCAUCUCUGCCUCUCAUCUCUUUCUCCGUUCAAGAAAUUCAAGCGCACUUCCAAAAUUAAUGGCAUCAAGGAAGGCUCAAACUGUUCCCGCAACCGACGUAAAGAACAAAAGCGUCCUCGUCGCAACUGGUGUCACUUUAGGCAUCACGACUCGAAGCAUGGCAAGAGCUACUUCUGCCGCCUCUUUCACCUCUGCAUCAACUAUGCCAAGGGAACAAAAGCACCCAAGGCACGAGCCUUUGAUCACCUUAGCCUCGCUAAGGGCACCAAGGGGGGAAAGCCCAAGGAAAUACUCCGAAUCCAUGCUCUCCGAUGCCGAUUCAAGCGACGGUUCAGCCAUGCAAGUCAUGACCAUUGGAGCAACUUCAAUCGAUGAGCAGCUGGCUCAAAUGAAUGAAGCAAUCGCAAGGCUAACCCGAACUGUGGAAGAAAAAGACUUGCAAAUUGCUGCACUAGUCAACCGACUGGAGCCACAGGACGACGAGAACCCUAACCCAGAAGAUGAGCCUCAGGUGGAGAAAAACGAUGCGAAGCCCGAGCCAGAUCCAAGCAGCGGCACUAAUGGGAUCUCUUUCUAUCCAGCAGCUGCAAGGAGAUGAUCACCAACACCAUCAAGGCACAGUACGAAGGGAGCUCAAACCUCCGGGUUGUACUCAAAGCCGUAUUCAAAGAAGAUCGACGCCCUAAGGAUGCCAAGGGGUUAUCAACCACCAAAGUUCAUGCAAUUUGAUGGAAAAGGAAACCCGAAAGCAGCACGUUGCCCACUUUCGUUGAAACUUGCAACAACGCAGGGGACCGAAGGGGAGGCUUACCUCGCCAAGCAGUUUGUGCGCUCGCUGAAAGGAAACGCCUUUGAGUGGUACACAGACCUAGAGCCUGAGUCCAUCAACAGCUGGGAGCAGUUAGAGCGGGAAUUCCUCAACCGCUUCUAUAGUACCCGCCGCACUGUGAGCAUGCUAGAACUAACGAGCACAAAGCAGUGGAAGGACGAGCCAGUCAUUGACUACAUCAACAGAUGGCGCACUCUAAGCCUCGACUGUAAAGACAGGCUCUCGGAAACCUCUUCAAUCGAGAUGUGCAUCCAAGGCAUGCAAUGGGGUUUGCAAUACAUCCUUCAAGGCAUUAAACCGCGGACCUUCGAGGAAUUGGCCACUCGCGCCCAUGACAUGGAGUUGAGCAUCGCCCAUCAUGGGAAGAAAGAACCGAUCGCCGACUACAAGAACGACAAAGUUCUUGGGACAAAGGUGGAAAAGGUUACAUGGAAACCCACCAAGGAAGCGAUGACGGUCAACACAGCUCCCGUCAAAAUCUCCACACGAGGCAAGGCGAUUCAAGCCGAAGGCUUUCGUGAUCAAGAGAUGCGUAGACGCACUUUGAAUGGAGCUUGAGGAGAAAACUUAUCCAUUCCCCGACUCUGAUGUGGUUGCCAUGUUAGAAGACUUGCUGGAAAAGAAGGUGAUCGGCUUGCCUGAGUGCAGACGGCCAGAAGAGAUGAAUCGUACCGACAGUCCAAGAUACUGUAAAUUCCACCGCUUCAUCAGUCAUCCGACAGAAAAGUGCUUCGUGCUGAAAGAUCUCAUCAUGAAGCUGGCUCAGAAAGGAAUCAUCGAGCUAGAUCUUGACGAUGUGGUGAAGUCAAACUAUACCACUUUCACUUCUGGCUCUUCCGACUCAAAGUUUUCACCUCAACCGCUGGGGGCAUCCUCCAAGACAAGCAAAAUUGAAGGAUGGACUCAAGUCACUCCUAAGAAAUUGCACAAGAAGCAUACGUCUCCUCCACAAGUCCGCCAAUCGGAAAGGGGGCAAAACAGCUCUUGUCAACCUUCAAAGCAACAUGAACGUGUUGAAGAUGAUGAAAUUGUGACACAAAGAUCGUCCGUUGCCAUCACGAUGCGCGACUUCUUGCCCGAAGACUUCUUCAAUCACGCAGUCAAAGCUCCUUGCUAUGAAAAUUGUGAGGAACGCCUCUCCCGGAUUGCUUGACAAAAUCAACAAAUUCUCCUUGCCCGCACGAGUCUAAACUGCAUGGCACAAAGCUCCUUGUUCGCACGAGCCUAAACUGCACGAACCAAUGCUCCUUGUUCGCACGAGCCUAAACUGCACGAACCAAGGCUCCUCGCCUGCACGAGCCUAAACUGCAUGGCACAACGCUCCUGGUCUGCACGAGCAUAAAAGGCAACACCAACGCUCCUUGCCUGCACGAGCUUGAAACUGCAACACGGCACCAAAUGCUCCUUGCCUACACGAGCUGAAACUGCAACACGGCACCAAAUGCUCCUUGUCUGCACGAGCUGAAACUGCAAACGACACCAACACUCCUUGUCUGCACGAGUUGAAACUGCAAACGGCACCAAAAGACAAUACAAAAAAAUAUAUAUAUAUCUAUGUAUUUGAACUACGUUUUGACUUGAUCUCUUUCUUUGAAAGGGUACGUAGGCAGCUGGAAUAUUUAAUUUCGAGUUCAGUCAUAUCAAAAUAAAAAAAAUGUUUUAUUAAAGAAAAAAAAAAAAAAAAAAAAAAGACAUAUGUUUUAUGUAUUUACAAAAAAAUAUAUUUAUUUAUUACAGCUUCAAAAAAUAAAAAAAAUAAAAAAAAUAAAAAAAGUAAGUAAAAUAAUUAAAAAAUAAAAAAUAAAAUAAAACAAAAUCGAAAUGUCAACAAAAGACCCAAAUGCCUGGCCUAUCCCUUUGCCAAAAUGUCUGCUUCUUCUUCUUCCAAGCCCAGGCCUCCCUCCAUUUCACAGGCCCAGAUACCAAGAGCCCAACUCUCGUGGCCCGCCCGAGCAGCAGCUAAAAGAGCUCCAACCGACAAUGGCAUCGCACGCCGUCCUCUACAACCCCUCCGACAUUGCCACCUGGGUUGACCUCCUCCUCUCCGGUUUGAACCACACUGAUUGAGACAGCCAUGGUGAACAAGAAGUCGGUGAUGGAAGUAAUCAGAGCCAGAGCCGCGAGGCCGAACUUCUGCAACAACGACGACAAAGUCGUUUUCGCCGUUCACGGGCCUCCCUCCAGCUCGACAGCCGCUCAUCCUCUGUGCAAACCUGUGUCUCCAAACUUACGACCAUCAGAGUUUUCGAGUAUAUCAGCUCACCUGCACUUCUUCCAGGCCCAGGCCUCCCUCCAUGUCACAGAUCUCCACAGAAAACCCAAAGCUGAACCAACUCACUCUCUCUAGAAAUUCGGUUCUCCUGCUCCAUAGCUCUCUGCAAGUGCAAUGCAAAACCAAUUCAAGCUUAAGCUCUCAAAUAUUUUUUUUGAUCCGCAUCCGGCUCCUGCAAGACUCGAAACUUAUCAGACGAGAUCGAGAAAGCCGCUCCGGAGAUUCGUCAGGUCAAGAGUACUCUGGUUCGAAGAAUUGCAGAGCAGAUCCAAUUGAGGGAAGAAACUGUGGAGGAGUUCGCAGAUACUGGUAUUGAUACGAACAGUCGGGUCUCUGCCGGACCCUCAAACCCGAUUCCCUAUCCAUCCUCUCAUCAUCAAAAUCCUCAUCGUCUUUGUCAAUCUCUUUCUCUGCCGGAUCCGAACCCGAGCCCGUUUGGCAUAAUCGUCUACAGCUCCACGCCCGACUCGAACACCAAUUCGGACCCGUCAUUUUCUUCCUCUCUGUCUUCGAAUCUCGCGACCAGGCUGCCAAACCGGACUCGAUUGCAGCCCAAUUCCCCAAAUUGCCCCUGUUGCUGCGGCCACCCCCAAAGCUGUUGCACAGAAGGUGUUUGAUAAAGAGGUAGUCCUCUCCACUCCCUGCGAUUUCACCGCCCAGCCGUUGACGAAGGAAGAUGAGGAGGUGGUCAAGUCCGUGGGGGCGGGAACCAUCCCUUCCUACUCUCUGGAGUCAAAGCUUGGAGAUGGCAGGAGGGCGGCGGCUAUCAGGCGCAAGGCACUUCAGAGGAUCACAGGAAAGUCUCUGGGUGGUCUGCCAUUGGAGGGGUUUGAUUACGAGUCAAUUUUGGGUCAGUGCUGCGAGAUGCCAGUUGGGUAUAUUCAGAUUCCAGUUGGGAUUGCUGGGCCUCUUAUGCUCGAUGGCAGAGAGUUUUCCGUACCAAUGGCCACCACCGAAGGUUGCUUGGUUGCCAGCACCAACCGUGGCUUCAAAGCUACCAACUUGUCCGGGGGAGCCACCAGUGUGUUGCUGAGAGACGGGAUGACCAGAGCACCUUGUGUGAGGUUCAACUCUGCUAAGAGAGCUGCCGAGUUGAAGUUCUACUUGGAAGAACCCAACGAUUAUGACACCUUGUCCACGGUUUUCAACAGGUCAAGCAGAUUCGGUAGGCUUCAGACAAUUAAGUGUGCCAUUGUUGGGAAGAACUUGUGCAUGAGAUUCACCUGCAGCACCGGUGAUGCUAUGGGGAUGAACAUGGUCUCCAAAGGUGUGCAAAACGUCUUGGAUUUCCUCCAGAACGACUUCCCUGACAUGGAUGUGAUUGGAAUUUCCGGCAACUACUGCUCUGACAAGAAGCCCGCUACGGUGAACUGGAUUGAAGGCCGCGGAAAAUCGGUGGUCUGUGAGGCUGUGAUCAAGGGUGAUGUGGUGCAAAAGGUAUUGAAAACCAAAUUGGAUGGGCAGAGAGGAGCCUGGUGGAUGCGCAGCUGCUGUGGUGCCUCCCUCGAACUCAUCAUCACUAUGACCUCCAAGAUAGCAAAGAACUUCAACGACCGCCGUCAAACGACUAGCCGGUCGUGAAGCUCGAAGCACCAUCUUCUCCGUCCUCCUUGCUCCGCUGCCUGCAAAUUUCUCUACCCAUCAUCAACAUUUAUACAAAAAAGAUAUAUUAAAAAAAUAGGAUGGUGGAGCAAAGCAAAGUGGUGCAUCUGGCACCACACGUGAAAAAAGAGGAAUGGUGGAUCAAAGAUGGGGUACAGCCCCAUGGCAGAUCAAAAGUUUCUGGUGGUGCAUGGGCACCAUGUGCGAAAAAAAAAAAAAAAAAAAAAAAAUUGUAAAAAAAAAAAUAUAAUAAAUAAAUAAAUAAAUGAUGGAACUUGGUGCAUCCAGCACCAAAAGAAAAAGAAAAAAAAAACAAAAAAAAAAACAAAAACAAAUAAAAAAAACAAAUGCAUAGAGAGAAAUAGAAGGUCCAUUUUAUUUAUUUUUCUGGAAAUUUUACAUAAAUUUGCUAUUAUACAUAAAUUUAAAAAAAAAAAAAAAAAAAAAAAAAAAAAAAAAAAUCAAAUCAAAUUUACAAGAGGGGAUAUUCAAGGACGAUCAGGUGGCGCCUCACAACUCGGUAGAGCUCCAGGAAGAGAAGGCGUCGGAGGUUGGCUGUUUGAAGCCUCAGCAGUCGGUACAGCCCCAGAAGACGAAGGUAAAUGCUGCUGGAACAAACCCACAAACCUCCGAUGAUCAAGUAAAAUUUGACCAUCAGAUUCCUGCAUCUGGUCAAUUUUCCUCUUCAUGUUUGUGGCAUAGUUGUGUGCAAGCUUGUGCAACUGUUUAUUCUCAUGCUUGAGCCCUUUUGAUCUCCUGUUUGAGACUCAUCACUUCAGCCGCCAACGAUUCAACUUGACGGGUUCGAGCAAAUAGGCGUUGGGCCAUGUUGGACACAGAACCCGCACACUGCACACUAAGAGCCAGGGACUCCUUAACAGCCAACUCAUCAGACCGCCUGGAAAGUAGUCUGUUAUCUUUGGGAGUGACAAGGUUCCGGGCCACCACCGCAGCGGUCAUGUCAUUCUUCAUCACCGAAUCCCCAACAGUAAGAGGACCAGUAGGGGAUAUGAAGGAUGGGCGCCAUAUGUUAUCUGGAGAAGACGGGACUACCUCUUCACCAAGGUUCAAAUCAAAACGACGGUCGGAGGGUCCAGACAUUUUCAAAGUGUUGAAGGAAGAAGAGAUCGGACAAAUCAAGAUCUUAGAAGUACAAGAGGGGAGUUUUCACAAGCAAAAAUUCAAGUGUGCUUUGAAACGAACUGCAUGCCUCUAUAAAAAUCAUCACUCGACGGGAUUUCAGAGAUCGAAGAGGCGAGCUCAGAAUUCGAAGAGGCCAUUCAAAAAUCGAAGAGGCAAGCUCAGAAAUCGGAGAAGCAUCUUGCUUUUUCAGACGUGUCGGCACCCGUCACACGCAAACUCAGCUUUGCGGAAAUCACGGGUAAUUUGUGUCGAAGCGCCAAUCCCAGAUAUCGAAGAGGCGCCAGUCUUUUUCAGCCGCGUCAUCACCUGUCAUAUGCACACUCAACUUUGCGCAAAUCAUGGGCAAUUUGUCGAAGAUUUUCGGUGAAGGAGAAAGCACGUUAAGUUUACUGUUCAAUCACGCGUUAGUUUGCCGACACGAGUGAAAGAAUAGUACCUCUACAGGUAUUAAGGGACCUCCUAUAACUGUCCACCUUCACCUUCCAUAGCAAGGCAGACACACAGAGUUUUUCUUCAUCUCCAAAGAUGUUUUCCCAACGAAGCCUCUCGAGUCAUUCAGUGUUCCUUAUUCCUUGGGGUACCUCUGCAAGCCAAUGACUUCAAAGCAAAAGUAUCUCAUAUCACCAGGGUAGAAAGCAAGAGUAUCUCAUAUCAUGUGUUCUCCCAGUCCUUCCCUUUGUCCUUGUUCUUACCUACAAAGACAAGGAUAAAGAAAACAAUAUGCCAGAACCUCCACUCAAACUCGGGUAAGGAACCGACUGCUUGGAGCCCUUCCCUGAUUGCCUACCUAGCACUGCUAUCGAGUACUCGUCUCCCACUGCUGCUGUACUUCCAAAGAAGCUGCCAUAUCUGCCUGAAGAAACAAGCAGAGAAGAAUGCAGCAUGCACAGUCAACUCAGCAGAAAGAGUCUGAGACGAAGAACUCGAGAAGAUGUCGCAUCUGCCUGAGGACGGUGAACUUGUUUUGACCCUCAAAUUCUUGGGUCGACUUACUAGGCGUUGUGGGCUGCGCGUGCCGAUUCACCACCCUUGAAUCGAAUCCUUAAAGAUCAAGUCACCAACUGGAAGAAGAGUUCAUCAAUCUUGAAGAUCAUACCAUUGACCAAACUGCUCAGGUGUGAAUUAGAAAGAUUGAACAAAGAAACAGGUUGUCACAUUUACCUCGUGCCUGCUUGCCAUGUGUUCGAGUCAACCUUCAAGAAUCAAGCCUCAACGGCCCUUGAAGAAGUUUCCAGCCAACUUCAAGAUCAAGCCUCGACUGCCCUUGAUGAAAUCACAAGUCCGAUUCAAGAUCAAGUGUCUACCACUCUUGAAUCAAAACCUAGUUCAAGAAUAAGCUGUGGAAAAUCAACAAUUGGAGGAAUCCAGAAAAUCCUUCAACCCAGUUCAAGAUCAAAGCUGUGGAAAGUCAACAAGCGCAACAAAACACGUGCCGAUUCACCCACUACCAAAGCCGAAGAUCAUCUACCACAUGAAGCUCCUUGUGGUCCAAUUUCAACCUUCAAGAUCAAGCUUCGACGGCCCCUGAAGAAAUUUCAAACAAAAAGUUCAAGAACAAGCCUCAACGGGCCUUGAAGAAAUCUCGAGCCCAAUUCAAGAUCAAGCCUCAACGGCCCUUGAAACAAUCUCCAGCCCAAUUCAAGAUCGUGCCUCGAUGGCCCGUGGAUCGACAUCUACAGUAAGGGACUUCAAAACGCAUCUCCUACACGUGACAAGCACAUGUACACGACGUGCCUUGAAGUGGGGGCAUUUGUAGACAUCGAAAUUUCGUAAAUAAAUGUUGACCGGUAAAUCAAAGUGUCAACGCUCAUGUAUUACAUAAAUUUUACACGUAGCGUGUGAUUCAACGAAAAUUGAAAUGAGUUGGAAAAGUCAUCAAAUAGGACACGUGUCAACACCUGGCAGAAACGACUUAUUUCAUCUGGAAUAUUAUAUUCAAAAUUAGGCCUUGGAAAUUUCUAUAAAUACAAGCCUAUUUCAUUCAUUGAAAAAAAACCAAAAUCAUUAGGCAAAACUCUUGAAGCUCUGAAGCUCUGAAACUCCGAAGCUCUCAAGCAUCUAGGUUCCCGAAGAAUCAAGAAAGCCUUCUUCGUUCUUCGUUCAUCGUUCUUCCAAGAUCAAGCCCCAACGGCCCUUUGGAUCAACAAUCAUCCACCAAUUCAAGAUCAAGCCCCGACGGCCCUUGAAGAAAGUGUUCUUCGUUCUUCGUUCAUCGUUCUUCCAAGAUCAAGCCCCGACGGCCCUUGGAUCAACCAUCCACCAAUUCAAGAUCAAGCCUCGACGGCCCUUGAAGAAAGCACCAUCGUUCAUCAUCCGUUCAUCCAAGAUCAAGCCCCAACGGCCCUUUGGAUCAACAAUGUCGACAAAUCCACACAUCCAACCGUUCUUCAAGAUCAAGCCCAAAAGCCCUUGAAGAUUCGUUCAUCACUGUUCUUCAAGAUCAAGCCCAAAAGCCCUUAAAGAUCCGUUCGUCACUGUUCUUCAAAGAUCAAGCCCAAAAACCCCCUUUGAAGAUCCGCUCAAAUCCACCUUCAAGAUCAAGUCUACGGCCCUCGAAGAACGUUCAUCCUUAGAUCAAGCCCAACGGCCCUUUGGAUCAAUCGCACAUCCACAAAUACACACCUUACGGAGAUCGAAUCAGAGGAUCAAAAUAGAGAGAGAUUGUAACCCAAAAUCAUCAAAUACAAAUAUUUGUUUGUGCACGUCGUUCUUGUCUCUUUCGUUUCAGGAAUUUUCCGUGUUCACAAUUAUAUAUAUAUAUUUAUACAUAUAUAUUAUAUAUAUUUAUACAUAUAUAUUAUAUAUAUAUUUAUACAUAUAUAUUAUAUAUAUUACUUUUAUAAUUGAUGCUAGUAGUUUCUAAUUCAUGCUCCGCAACCUGGAAUGCCCUACACCUUGUAUAUUUUUCAUGUUCUAUUUGAUAUUCGUUUGAAUUUUAUUAUUGAUGCUGUCAUGGCUGAUGAUUUCAGAAGGCUUGAUUAUUUUGUCUCUCAACAGAUUGCAAAAAGGGUUUAAUUAAUUUGAAUUUUGACUCUGAUAAAAACAGUCAGGCAUGCUAGUUUUAGAUUAAAUGGUAGUGUGAAUGAAAUGACAUUCCUAGUUCAUGAAUGUGUUCUUGAAUUAUAUAUUUGAACAACAAUUCAAAAUUUCAUAUUUAAAUUUGGGAUUCCCGAUUUGUCGGGAAAUCCCAAAAAUAUUUUCGGGAUUCCUGAAAUUUGGAAUUCCCGAAAAUUUGGUUUGGAAUUGGUCUUCAAAUUCUCGCCCCUAAAAAUUUCGGUUUGGAAUUCGGGAUACUAGUUUCGGCAUGGCAUCUCAUACCGAACCACCCCUAGUUUCUCAUGAGUUCAUAGUAGGGAUGAAAUUUUUUGUCAAAUUACCGUACCAAACGAAUUGCCAACUGUAUUAUACUUAUUUUGUGUCAAUUGGUAAUGGUACGGUAUUGUACCAAACCAAAAAUGUUUGGUACAAUAUUGGUAUUUGAUACCAUUAUCAUAGUAUUACAGUACCGUACUGAAAAAUAUAAUAAUAUAUAACUAUAUAUAUCUAAUAUUUCACUUUUUGAAGUUCAAUGCCUCAAUCUUUUACAAGUUCAAUGUCUCCAAAUACUUCUACAUCUCAAGUUUGAAAUUUUGAUAAAUGAAUUUCACUUUUUGAAGUUUGGUUCCAAUUUUCAGUUGGUUUGAAACUUUAACCUUUUUUUUGGAUUGUGAACUUUAUUUUCAUCAUAAAUAUUGAUAGCAUCAUUUGACUUAAUAUGUGUGUAAAUUGUGAAUGAUAAAUGAUAGAUGAUUUUAGUCUACAAUGUAUAAGAUAAAGGCACCAAAAAAAAAAUUCAAACCCAAAAAGUGGCCCAAAACAAAGUGACAAUUACCUGCCAACCGAACUAUUUCACAAUACCGAACUUCGGUAUAUCGAAAAUUUUGUACGGUAAUAGUAAUAAAUUUUAUCAAACCAAAAGUUUGUUAUAGUAAUUAGUGUCAGCAGUUGUGAUCGGGUGUAAAUAAAUUUUAUCGAACCAUCAACAUGACGACACAUGUUUUCAAGUAUUUCCAAAUGACGUCAAAUGAUUGAUUCAGAACACAACAAUUUCAGUAUUCUCGUUUCAUGCAAGUCUUCCUCGUCAAUAACAUCUCAAACUCCCAAUCAGAAAACCUUCCCUGCUAACAAAUAACUUGAAACAGAAAAGCAACUGCUAGAAAGAUGCAAAUUGAAACGUAAAAAUAAGAUCAAAGGUGAAGGCUCCAAGUUUAACAUAAAUCUAACAAAAACUUGAAACAAAAAAUUCUUCCAUAUUUGCUUAAAAGCUCCAACAACAAAAGUAACAUAACAGUACAGCCAAAACAAUGCAUUUAAAACAGAGAUGUUCCCUUUCCCUUCUUGUC